GGGUUUGUAUAGUACUUGUUGACUUCACCAGCUAUAUCAGAAUAGUAAGAGCCAUCCUCAAUGAUGCCCAACCCAAGCUUGUUCACCAUGCGCGCAACCGAGGCGGGUUGUCCAAUACAAUUCUGUAUGAUUCCUUUCAUACCCGAAACAACCACAAAUAAUUCAAUAUACAUAUGUUAUAUAUAUAUAUAUAUAUAUAAAAAAUCAAGGUUAAAAGUUACCUUUCUCGACAAGAAAGUCUACAUCUUUCUCAGUGUCAAUGAGGUAAUCUAGAAAUAAGACGUAGUCACACACGACGGUGUUUGAUGGGUAAUGACAUUGCUCAAGAGCCAUUAUGUUUCUCAGUUUCAUCUCAAGUUUGUCUACAACUUUAAGACAAGGCAUCUCCAAACAAUCAUUUUCGAAUCUCACAUACAACGAGAGCUCAUCUCCUACGGCCUUAAAAUUUACUCCCCCAUUAUCUAGCUUAUCCGCAUUAUACAUAUGCUCUAUGGGUUUGCAUUUCCGAACAAUAUGGUUAGGAAGUGUCUCCACGCGAACACACCUGAUCAGAUCAGUGAAAUGUAAAAUUUUGGGAUCCCCUCUGAUUUUACCUUGGAAUUUGAAGUAAUUGAUGAUUAGGUCCGGGAAUGUUUGGUGCGAAUGGAUUCCUGGGGUGAUUGAAUCAUACAGUUUCUUAAGUAUAAAGUAAGGAAGUUGGUUCUCGAGCAAUAUAAGAUCACAAAAGACCGUGUUUGUAAGACAUGACUCGUCCAUGAGACGAUCUCCUGUUUUCUCUUCUCUUGUUUCGGUAGUCCUCAGUAUGAACUCCAUUAUGAAAACAGAGUCGAGCAUGACCAUCUCCACAAACUCUUGAGAUUGAAUCCAGUUUGUUGAUUCUGAAUAGCUUGCCCUGACUGUCGCUUCCUCUUCUUUAAUCAUUCUUCUGAAUCCAUCAAUGGUCAUUCUUCCUUCAAACCUUCGUGCGAAUCCCGCUAGGUAAAUUUUUUUAUGCUUCUCCAUGUUUAAGUAGCCCAUUGACUUUGUGUAUGGGCCCAGAGACUGGCGAGCUUGAGAUUUCAAUGAAUGGUGAAGAGGUCCAAUAAGGACUAACUGAGGCGUGUAUGCUUCUGGAUUUACUUCACGCAGACAGUUGGGGACUCUGUAGAUACAGCAAAGGUUGGGAUUUGUAGGAUACUGCCACAUCCCUGGAUACAUUAUUCUCGGUUGCUCUUUUUUCACGGAAAGAUUCAGUGAAAGAAUUGAGAAAGAUAUGAGAGUAGCAAGUGGAGGAGGGGGAAGAAUAAUUAAAGACCACCCGGAGCUGACAUAGCUUGAAGGGAUUGAGAAACUUUUCUAAACCUUACGUUCCGAGGUUAGAUAUAGUUUCAAUAUAUUUGGAAUAUCCUUAUCCGAAGCAAGGAAAUCAUUAAAUUAGUAUGGUCCAGAAUCCAGAUUGAAUAUUAUCGAUGAUUGAAUAUAUUUUUUUAGUGUUUUGAUUAUAUUUUUGUAACUAGAUGAUAACAUGCACUCUGCACGGAGUGAAUUUUUAAAAAUAUAUUGUACUUAAAUAUUAUAAACAAUAUACAUUUUGUUAUCAAUAAUUUUUUUUUAUUUGAUUAGAUGUGGACAUUCGAGUACCAUUUGGUUCGAUUCGGAUACUUGAAGAUUUGGUUCGGGUUGAAUCUUUGCAGGUCUGGAUUCAGAUAACCUAUUAUUUUUUUCAGAAAUUAAAGUUUAUAUAUACUUUAAAUAUUUCAAAAUCUAAAAAUAAUAAUAAUAUAUGACAUAUAAAUUUGAAUAAUAUAUGCCAAAAUACUUAAACUUAACAUAAAAAUUGGUUCAGCUUAAAUAUUUGGAUAGGAAAUCAAUGAAAAAAUAGGUAUUUUAUUCUCCAAGUAUUUGAAAUCGGCAGUUUUAAUACUCAAGUAUUGCUCGCACAGAAUUAUUCCCCAACUAAUAGUUGACUGCGCGAAAUUAGGAACGAAAUAGUCAACUAUUAACUUAUGGACGGAAAAUAAUGGUUUCGUUAAAUUUUUAACGGUUGAAUAUUAGAAUCAUGAUUUUGUGCAUUCAGUGAUUAGUUGAGGAAUAAAUAUGCGCAUAUAAUACUUAAAUAUUUGAUUUACCUAUUGAAAAUAGUUGAGGAAUUAAAAGGAAUUGAACAAUCUUUUUUUAAGUCAUAAUUUAAAAUAUUCUCAAGUUAGAUAUAGCAAAUAUAAAAUAAUACAAAUAACUAUAGUUGCAUGAUUGCAUCACAGUGUUGAUGGUACUUCAUAUUUAUAAAAUCACUUACGGAUGAUUUCGUUUUGCUUAUACAUUCAUAUUUUGUACAUUUAAUCUAUAUUAGACAAUUAUAUAAACCACUAUAGACAAUUAUAUAUUGUAAAUUAAAAAUACAGUGCACAUGUAGUUAUCCUAUAUCAUUUUAUAUGCUUUAAAAACUAAAAAUAUAUUUUUGUGGUAUUAAGUAUCUUAUAAAUUGGUUAAAAUCGAGAUUUUUUAACUAGGAAUUAUUUUAUAAAUCAUCUAAAAUGAUUUUAUAAACAUGAAGUACAUCAACAAUACGAUGUAACUAUAAUUAUCUUAUACUGUUUUAUAUGUCAUUGUAAAUACUCAACAAUCAUUUUCAGAAAAAUAAAUAUAUAGUAUAAUGAUUUUAUUUAACUUGAAAAUAUUUUUAAUAAUGUUUUUCUUAAAUAAAAUUAAUGUUCAUGACUUUCAAUCUUAUAAAGAAUAUAAAAGGUGAGUUUUUAAUUCCUCAAGCAUUUUCAAUCGGCAAAUCAAAUACUCAAGUAUUAUAUGUGCAUAUUUGUUCUCCAACUAAUCUUUGACUGCGCAAAAUUAUGCUUCAAAUAUUCAACCGUUAAAAAGUUGAUGGAACCUGUUAUUUUUCCAUCUAUCAGUUAAUGGUUGACUAUUCCAUUCCCAAUUUUUCGCAGUCAACUAUUAGUUGGAGAAUAAUUCUGCGCGAUCAAUACUUGAGGAUUAAAAUUGCCGAUUUCAAAUACUUGGGGAAUAAAAUGUCCAUUUCCCGGAAAUCAAUAGGUAUUUUAAGUAUUUUAGGUAUUAUAAGUAUCAUUUAGCUAUUUUAAACAUGUACUUAUAAAUAUUUAUAUAUAUUUUCAAGUAUUAUGGACAACUUAAGAACUUUGUAUAUUUUCUGUAUAUUCUUUUAGAUAUUAAAUUAAAAAACAGUUAAUAUAUUUGAGUAUAUAAAUCUUGUUCGUAUAUAUUUGGAUACCUAAAAUAUUUCGGUUUGGAUCGGGUUCGGUUUCUGUUCUCUAGAUACCAAAACUUUGAACCCAUUCGGAUCUUUAACUAAUUUUGGUUAAAGUUCAGUACUAUUCUUUGGUUCGUCCUUGGUUCGGUGUUUUGGAUUCAGAUUUUUUGCCCAAUCCUAUAUAUUUAUUGUGACCAAAUUUUUAACAAAAAAGAUGAUGGUUCAUAUUGGUUUUGGGUAUGCAACAAUUUUUAAACCAAAACACAUUUUACUAUGUACGUGGCCUAUUUAAUUAAUCAUUAAAAAUUGGUCUAGGCCAAUUAAGAAAAACAAUGGGCUGAACUUUAAAAAAACGUUACCAUUUCAGAUUAUCAAUCGACACUUCCAAAUAUACUAUGUCGGUGUUGUGACGAAUAGAUAAAUGGUUAGGGUUAGGAAGCAAAUUUGUUGUGCAGUCCAUAUUCUCGCUAGGUGAUUUCAAUAACUUCUAAAUAAAUCUUAGUUGCAUCGAUCUCUUAUAAGAUUUUCGAACAAUAUUAAUUAAUAAAAUCUUACACUUGCUAGAGUAAUCAAUUUGUUUCUCAAUUAAGGAGAUUAUAGAAAACACAUAAAUCAAAACAAUACUUCUUGUUUAUUUACAAUAUAUUUAUGGUAAAUAAAUCAAAAUAAUCAUUUUAUUUAUUUUAUAUGAUAUAUAAUUAUAUUUCAAAGAUAUUGACAUAGCCCUAAAUAUAUUGUAUAUUUUAAUAUAAAUAUUUUUAUCGAGACUUCAUACUCAUAUGGUUUCAUUAACAUUUGUAUAUUUGAUGUAACAAAAAAGUUAAACCAUUAAUCUGAAAAUUUUUGAUAUGGUAUUUUUCGAUGCAAAUUUCAAAAUUAAAAUGGUGCAUAGUUUAAUUUAAACGAUAUUAAUAUAUAUAUAUAUAUGAUUUAAUAUGAAUAUCUUUUAAAUAAAAAUUUAUAUUAAUACGAUUGUAUUAUCAUUUGUAUCUUGUUAUAACAAAAAAGAUUAAGUCAUUUGAUCACAGAUUUUUAAAGGGAUUUUUAAAAAAAUUUGUAAUUUAAUGUCGUUUAAAAAAAAAUCAAAAUAUAACAUAUAAGAAAAAACUAAUUUUUUAUUACAUGGUUAAUGUGAUUUUUAAUUUUUUUUAAUAAUAUAAAAUUAAAGAAAAAUUAGGAAGGAUGCAAAAAUUGUUAUUUAAAUCUGGAUUAUUCAUAAUUAUUAAUUUCUAUAUAUAUAUUAAUCAUAUUAGGUAACUCCAUAGUUUUUAUUUAAGGAAAAAAUACAUGUUUCUUAUAUUUUGAGGUUAAUAUACUGUUUUCUAGUAAUUGAAUUUUGGACCAACAUUUUUUCAGUUGAUUCGUAAGCUGCCAACUAAGAUUAAUUGACAUCUUAAUUAAAUGACAACUCAACAAGCUUUUUUUUAAUUAUUACAAACUACAUGUUACAAUUUUUUAAAUGUUUCUCUAUUAAUAUAUAAGAGAUGUUUUUUAUGUUCAAAAUUAACUUUUAUAAAAUAAUUAUAUUGUUAAUUCAACUAAUUGAUAUUAUAACCUUAACAUAUUUCACCAAGAAACUAAUUAAUAUAACAUUUAAAUUUUCAAGAAUUUUCUGAUUCAAUUUUUUUUGUUCUUGUAAUAAACAUGAAAAAAACCUAAAUCAAAAUCUUUAGAAAGACGUGAUUAAAUGACCCUAAAUUAAGAUACAAAACUGAAUUUAACCAAAAGAGAGAGAACAUAUAAUUUGUAAGAACUGCAUUAACUUAGAAAAUAUUACUGUGUUAAUAUUAUUUAUUUUAUUUUUUAAAUAGAAAAAGACUAGGAUAGCACCAAACCAAGUUUAUGUUCCCAAAGUAGCACUCAAGGUUCAAAGUCACAAAAAUAGGUUUCAUUAAAGAGGUAAAUAUACACUUAUACCCCUUGGGUUAAUUAAUCCAAACCUUAGGGUUUAGAGUUAAGGGGUGGGGUUUUGGAAUUAGGGUUUAAAAUUUUAUAAAAAAAAAUAUUAAAAUAAAAAAUAAAAAUUUGAAAAACAGUUUUAAAAAGUAUUUUUAAAUUAUAAAAAGAAAAUUUGAAAAAAAAAACAAAUUUCGAAAAAAAAAAUUAUAAAAAUUUCGAAUCUGAAAACAUAUAAUCUGAAACUAUAAAAAAAAAAUCUUUUUUCAUUUUUUUAAUUUUUAUUUUAUUUUAUUUUUAUUUAUUUUUGUUUGUUUAUUUAAUUUUAAACCAAGGGUAUUAGAGAUAUUUUACCCUUUAAUGAAUGUCAUUUUUGUGACUUUCUCCUUCUAGUGCUAUUUUUUUAGACAUAAACUUCAAAAUGUGCUAUUAUUGACAAUUGCCCUUUUUUAAAUGGGGGUGUAACUAUAACUGGUUUGAUCUCUAUUUAGAUUACUUGAAUUUUGUUUUAAGAAAUUGUUGGACCAAUUAUUAUAAGCUUAACUCGGCUGAGUAAUAAUUGGAUAUGUGAAUAGAAAAAUUUUAUAAGUCCAAUGGCUGAGUAAAAUUAUGUUGUUAUGUGAAGAGAUAUGGAGAUUUUGGACUCACUUUGCAAGCUAAAUGAGCUGAGCAAAUUGAUUCAUUUGUUGGUUUUGGACCAUGAUGAAAAAGGCUUAAGCCUUAAGAGAAAAAACUUGGCAACCAAGUUAGCAAACUUGACAACCAAGCUAAGCCACCUUGGUGACCAAGUCAAGUCAACUUGGUGGCCAAGUCAAACCAACUUGGUUACCAAGUUUAAAUUGCUUGGUGACCAAGCUAAAUUCUCUUAUAAAUACCCAUGCUCUCUCCAUAAUCUCAAAAUCUCAAUAUAUCUCACAUCUCAUACAAUCAUCUCUCUCACUACAACUUUCUCUCACUAGAAAUGAAAAGAAAAAUACUCUUUAGAUUUUUCUUCUUUAAAGUAAGUGUCUCGAGAGUAUAUCGUAGUAGGUAGUUCGUAGAUUCUGUUUCGGGUGUUGCGAAACAUGUAUCCUGGGAUUCAAAAAUCGCAUAAAACCGUCACACAUUACGGGCGAUUUAUUGAGUUAAGGAAAGAGAUCAAAUCUCGACUCCGUGAAUUCGUCUAUUUCCUUACGAUUUCUUAAACGUUGCAAGUCUUUAUAUUAUCGUUUAUAUGCUUCUUGUUUCGUAAUUUUCAAUCAGGAUUUUUGCGGUCCUACAAUCUUAACUCAAUAAAUCCGCUUUUUUUUUUGCUUAUCGCUUGAAUCGGAUUGAAUAUUGCGAACAAUAUUUUAAAAAAAAUGAUUUUGUAAAACGGCUUUACAAAAUAUUUUUAAAUCGAACUGAAACGGUUCUAAGAAUGCUCUUUAGCUAUUCUUUAGAACGUUUUGGAAUAAAAAGACGAAUCAUAUUUAGGAAAUGAUUUACGCGACAUUCUCUGAAAGGCUCGCGAUCUCAUUUUUCUAAAGAAAAAUAGCGUUUAAGAAGGCCUAUUGGCGAAUUCUUAAAAAUGACUAUUAAAAGUUCAAGAACGCCUUUUUAGCGAUUCUGAGAACGGCUUUUAAAAAGUUCAAGAACGUAUUUAGCGAUUCCAAGAACGAUUAUUAUCGUUUAAGAACGCUUUACACGACUUCUGAGAACACUUAUUUGAAUUGAGUUCUCAAUAAUUACUACCAUUUGUAUUUUGUGAACAUAUUCAAUAGUGACUAUUGAUGUCAAUGACUUCGAGUCAAUAAAUGGGUUACUAAGUUUAAACUCAUGAGAUAAGUUUUGUAAAAUAUGGAUAAAUCUUAAAAGAUUGAGUUCAAUAUAUUUUUGAAUAAAUUUUUGUAGAUUAAAUUCAUAAUAUUUUUGGAUAAAUCUAAAUUUAAUGAUUGAGUCCAAAUAACUAUAAUGGAUAAAUCCAAAUAUAAAGAUUGUGUCCAUAUAGAUAAAGAUUGUGUCUAAAUAAUUAUAAAAUAUGUAUUUUUUUUUGAAUAAAUCAAAUCUAUAUUUAGAUUGUGUUCAAAUAUUUUCUUUUGAAUAAAUCUAAAUUUAAAGAUGAAAGAUUGUGUUCAAAUAAUCAUGAAAUAUUUUAUUAUACGAAUAUAACCAGUGAGACGACAAACCUAUUGGGAAUGGUCAUCCACUUGGAUUGUUUUCAUGUGAAGAUUUGUCUAUGCCUAGUAAAACCACUAUAUAAGUCUAUAGUGAGUUGAAUACUUUCAUGGAACUUUGAGUUUCCUUAUGGACAAAUCAAGGCAUAGACGUACGCUCAAAGAAUGACAAAAUUUCUUUUGAUGAACUGUAUGUUUAUCAUAUAUUAGUCAAAGAGCUGUGAUUCUUUAUGCAUGAGAGAACGACUGCAUGUAUAUCAAUUAAUUUGAUAUACUAGGUCUAUAGAUAAAUUGAUUUUCAGUAAAAUCUAUCUCUCACAAGCAAAGGCUACGAGCCAUAAAAAUUGACUUUCAAGUAAGUCAAAUAUGCAAAUCACAAAACAUAUGAUAUUCACAAUUGUGAACAUAAAACGAAAGUGAUUGAGCAAAAGAACUAAGAAAGCCUUAUGUUCAAAAAGCUGACACACAUCGUAGCAAGGCUGGCGAAUGUUGUAGCAAUAUUGGUUUAUAUAGAGAUAAUGUGAAAUCUCAAACCAAUUUGAUAAAAACUAAAACACGAAGUGUAGUUUUGGGUCAAUGUUCCAUAACAUAGUGAAGUUGCGGAACAAAAGUUCUAUACUCUUAAAGGAUGAAUGCAAGCAUGCAUGAUCCUGAAUUAACUCAGGAAAUGUGGGGGGAGUGUUGCUUACCACAUUCAAACAUUGGCAAAAAGCUAUGUACUUUGAAAAGGUUAUGUAAAUUCAUACAAAUACUUCAAAGUGUGGGGGUGCUUAGCAAACGUCGUUGUACUAACUCCAAAAAUGUGGGGGUGCUUAGCAAAAGUCAUAGUACUACCUCCUAAAAAUAUUCCAUUGUCGGAGAAACUAUUUCAGCUCUACGCUUAGUCAAUCGACUAUAGCUCGGGAACUGGAUAUUCUCUAUAAUGGUAAGUCGCAUCGCAUAAGACGACAUAAAACCAUUAGAAACUGUGAUCUCAAAACGUCAGCUGACAACCUUAUGGAUUAUUUACCAAAGGUUUAACAUGAGAUUAAGUAUUAAAAUCAUUGACGGAAAUGGGUUUAUUGCCUAUUAUUAAAGGAUGUUUGAUGGAAACCCUACUAACGUGACUGGAGAUCCCAAGAAGUUGGUUCAAAGGGACAACUAAAUCAAACAAAAUCCGAUAAAAGCACUGAAACCUACCCAUAUCCCAAGAUGAUAAUAGUGCUCCUGUAAGGAUAAGGUUAAGCUUUGGCUUUUAAUGAGAUAAGACCAUGACCUUCAUAUACAUGUAUAUAAAGUAUUACAGGGUACUUUAUUGUGUAUAUGGUAGAUGCACAUGGCAAUCACCUAGUGAGUGUGAAAUGGGGCCGUUUCUAGGUGAAUGAAGUUCAGGCUAUACUCUCCAAGUUCACUCAUGACUAACCAGGCAAGUUCACGGCCAAAAAUGAACACAAUAGAGAACUUAACUCUACGAGAAAACGCAGCUGUGUUAUAUCUGUUGACUCGGUUUACAUAAACUUUAGGGGGGUUCAAGACAUCAUGUUCACCACCUGAAAAGUAAAUCCGACAGAUAUUAACAAUGAGUAGUUCAAAGCUGGAAAACGCUACUACAUCAUAUACAGUUAGUUUUUUUGCUUAUACUCUCGAAAAGUCCGUCUGUCUAGUCUAGGUCAAGUUGUAGAGUCAGUCUUAGUAUAUCUAGCCUAAUUUUUUUAAGAGUAAUUUCUAUUCAUGUGGGGGAUUGUUGGACCAAUUAUUAUAAGCUUAACUGGGCUGAGUAAUAAUUGGAUAUGUGAAUAGAAAAAUUUUAUAAGCCCAAUGGCUGAGUAAAAUUAUAUUGUUAUGUGAAGAGAUAUGGAGAUUUUGGACUCACUUUGCAAGCUAAAUGAGCUGAGCAAAUUGAUUCAUUUGUUGGUUUUGGACCAUGAUGAAAAAGGCUUAAGCCUUAAGAGAAAAAACUUGGCAACCAAGUUAGCAAACUUGACAACCAAGCUAAGCCACCUUGGUGACCAAGUCAAGUCAACUUGGUGGCCAAGUCAAACCAACUUGGUUACCAAGUUUAAAUUGCUUGGUGACCAAGCUAAAUUCUCUUAUAAAUACCCAUGCUCUCUCCAUAAUCUCAAAAUCUCAAUAUAUCUCACAUCUCAUACAAUCAUCUCUCUCACUACCACUUUCUCUCACUAGAAAUGAAAAAAAAAAUAUUCUUUAGAUUUUUCUUCUUUAAAGUAAGUGUCUCGAGAGUAUAUCGUAGUAGUUAGUUCGUAGAUUUUGUUUCGGGUGUUGCGAAACAGUCUCAUCACGGUUGUAUCCUGGGAUUCAAAAAUCGCAUAAAACCGUCACACAUUACGGGCGAUUUAUUGAGUUAAGGAAAGAGAUCAAAUCUCGACUCCGUGAAUUCGUCUAUUUCCUUAUGAUAUCUUAAACGUUGCAAGUCUUUAUAUUAUCGUUUAUAUGCUUCUUGUUUCGUAAUUUUCAAUCAGGAUUUUCGCGGUCCUACAGAAAUGAUUAAUUAAAUUGGUAUACAAUUUAGUGGAUGGAUUUUAGGGUUACUUUUUUUUUGCUAAAUAAAAAGGAUUAAAUCCGGUUCUAUUAAAGAUAUAAGCAUAAUCCUCGUGUGGGAGGGGCAUCCCACAGAUAGACCUUCGAUCUCAUGGUUAUUCAAAAUAGAUCGAAAAACAAUAGUCCAUAUCCGUGUAAAUGACCUGGAAAAUGUGACUUAAUUUCGCAUGGUAGAUGGAUUGAAUCUAAAAUGUGGUGACAUCUCAAGUUCUUCUUGCCACUCGACUACAAGCUCCCCGUCUUUAGGGUUUACUUGACGUAUAUUUAUUUGUUUAAAAAUGCAGUAAUUGCAUUUCUAUACCAAAAAAGGUUGCAAAUUUUUAUAAGAUAUCACGUGAUGAGGUUGCUAAAGAGUUGCAUGCAAUCAGAUGUAAAUUACGUAUCGCGCAUGCAUGAGAUCGAAAAUAGAGUUAUACGGGCUCACUUGCAUUGGGCUUGGUUUUUGGGUUAAUCAAUAAAUAACACGAGUGCAUUUUGGUAAUAUUCCCAAAUUUAAAAAUUCAGAAAGAAACUUGGAGGAGAUUACUAUAGAUGAAGAGAAUGGAAAUGGGUAAGAAGGAAGAGAUUAAGAAAGGGCCAUGGAAAGCUGAAGAGGAAGAAGUAAAAUAGACACUGAGAUUUUGAGAGCUCCAAACAAUUUAGUAAUUUUAGUUUAAUAAUUUAGGAGAUGUAUGUUCAUGUAUAUUAACUCCAAAAUGUUUGAGAACAUAAGACUAAUUAAUGUUUCAUUUUGCUAUGCACAUGACCUAUUGGCGAGAAUCUCUACGCACAUGAAGAGCUGGUAACGAUGUGAAGAAUUUCUGGAGCAAUAAGGCAGCAAUUAGAUUGAAUUUUUGGAAUUGAAUGAUGUGAAAUACCUUAUUCUUUUUUACAAAAAAAAAAAAAAACUUAUUCCAUUAAUUUCAAAAACAAAUUCACCAUUUAACAUGAAAAAAAUCAUUAUUCCAUCAAUUCCACAAAUAAAUAGAUAAAAUAAUUGAAAGAUCUUAGAAAAUUGGAAAUUUUGUAUGGAUUCUAUGGUAUAUAUGAAAAUAGACAAAAUUAUUCCAUCAAUCAUUUUACAUGGAUUCUAUGGUAUAUAUAAAAAUUGGAAAGGAAGAAACGAUAAAGUUUUUAGCAACUUGGAUAUUGAUCUGAGUGGUACUCUCAAAUUGGCAGAAAUAGAAUCGUUACUCUGGGCUGAAGCACAAAAUUCUCUUAUACAGAGAAUAAAUUAUACUCAAUUACCCGUACCAUCGAUAGUACCGACUAUACCAGGUAAAUGGUGUUUUAAGGACGGAUCUUAGAAAAAUCAGGAUAUAUAUUCAGGGCAAGGAUGGUAUAUCACAUUGGAAGGUUUGGAUAGAUUAAUGGGAGCAAGAAAUACAAGAGCGAGUUAGUCGCCACUACAUUCAGAGAUAGAGGCUCUCAUAUAAGGAAUGGAAUGCAUGAGGAUCUUAGACAGUUCUUGGUUACAUUUGCAACGGAUUGUUCUCAGUUGGUGAAGAUGGUUUCGGAACCAGAGGAGUGGCCAACUUUUGCAAGUUAUUUGAAAGACAUAACAUUUUUGAAGAGAAGUGUCAACAGCUCAGAGAUUAUUCAUAUACCACAGACACAUAACUCAAGGGCAGACAGUUUCGCACGCAGUGCAAGGAAACAAUCGUUGUUUGUCGUUCAUAUGCGGAGCUACCGAUAUCGUUCGCAGAAAUCUACAUGAGUCUGCUUAUAUUGCUGACAAAAAAAUAGAUAAAAUAAAAAAAAUCAUUGCAUAAUAUAUUUGGUUAUGAAUGAGAUUUUUUUUCAUUUUUUUGUUGUAUUCCAUUUAUUUUAAAUCCACCGAUUUUUUUUUCUUUUACUUACAGUCUAAAAUAGACUCUCAGGGAUUAUUUUUUUACAACUGAGUUUAUUAUAAUUAAAGAGGGAAUGAUACAACACCAAGGGAUGGAGUUAUACUAUCCUUGGUAAACUAGGUCAGCGGACAACAACCAACUACCCCCAGAAACGAAAUCCCAAAAAGAAACAUACAAGGGCGCGUACAACAACCACCUUAAACUAAUCAACGAGCCAACUUCUCGCGUGCCCCAAAUGUGAAAUGCCAAAUCUCAUAUGGGUUCAUAGAGUCUCCUAUGCCCCUAUUUCAUAAUUCUUUUUUUGAUCAAAAUCCAAACUCCCAAAUCAAAUCCUUCCCGGUCAUCAAAACUAAACCCUAACCCCCCCCUCCCCAUAUGGAUUAGUGAACCUAUGGGCAAAUAUUUAAAUUCUAUACCUUUCAAAUUCAGAAAAAAAUAUUUUAAAAUCGUUUUUAAUCACAUUUUGAUGAUUUUUUCAAAAAUAUGGAAAACAACGUUUUGGAUUUUUGAAAUAUUUUUAUCAAAUUCUAUAAAUCAACUAAAAAAUAUUAACGUUUCCAUUUUAAUUUUAUGAUUUUUCCUUUGACAUAUAAAAUUAAAAGAACAAAAGGGUCCUUUUGAGAUUGUGUUAUGAGAUAUAGGGGUAUGAGAGGAUUUGUCUCCUAAUCAACUAACUUCCAAACCACAUUUAUAAUAAGACUUAUUCUUGGUUUCACCCCAUAGGAACCUCUUGGUUCACCAACCAAUAGAAUUGUGUUGUUUUAUAUUUGAUAUCUUAAAAAAAAAAACAAAAUAUUGUCAAAUUAUUUUAUGUUUUAAAAAUUAAAAAGUAAAAGUAAAAAAAUAAAAAUAGUAGUAAUUACAAAAAAAAAAUUUAAUAUCGCCAGCAAAACACUAAACCCUAAAUCAUAAUCCCUAAACCGUAAACUCUAAACCCUAAACCCUUGAAUAACGCUUAACCCUUGGAUAAAUUUUAAAUUCUAAAUCAAAAUCACUAAACACUAAAACAUUCAAAGGUUUAGAGUUUAUGAUUUAGGAUUUUAGUGUUCUGUGUUUUUUAUUUAGAGUUUAGGAUUUAUCCAAAGUUUAGGAUUUACCAAAGGAUUUAGGAUUUAGAGAUUAGGAUUUAGGGUUUUGCUGACGAUGUUAAAAGUAUAUUUUUUUUUAAUUCUUUUUUCUGUAACUACUUUUUUUUAAACGUAAUAUAACUUGACAAUACUUUGUUUCCUUUUUCAAAAGAUAUCGAAUUUGAAAUAAUGAAAUCCUAUUGGUUGGUGAACCUAGAGAUUCAUCAUAGGGGGUGAACCCAAUGACUAUAUAAGCUACUUUUAUGGUAACAGUGUCAUAUUUCGAUUUCUUGACAUUUUUAAGAUCUAGUCAUAUUUCUUUAGUCGUUUUCCUUUUAGUAAAAAUGUUAAGUUAUUUUUGAUAUAGUAAAUUCUUAAUUUUAAUACGGGUACUGUAACAAGAAAUAUCACAGAAGUCUAUAUCACAAUUUUUUCCUUUAUGCCUACAUAUAUACUAUGCAAUCUUAGUUUCCUUUUUCAACCGAGAGGGUGUCUAGGCGUUUGGUCCAAAUAAUCUCUCUAGGUCCGGGACCAGCCGGUGCUAAUAUUUAGCGCGCGCAAAGCAUCUUUCCAACGUGGAUGGAUGCACUAUAAAGAUGAUAUUGUUUGUUUGUGAAAGUAUUGCUAUUAUGGUGGAGAAAUGAAUGUAUACUGCAAUGAAUAUGCAUGCAUGGCGUUAUAUUCAAACGUUAUUCUAAUUUAUUUAAAUUUGAUGGUCAUUCAGGUUAUGUGCCCUUAUCUUUAAUUUCCUUUAAAAAAUGAACUAGAUUAUGACAUGCGCUUUGCAAACGCUGAAUAUUUUGUGAUAAAAUUUUUACUAAUAACUUAACAAAUAUUUGUUAAUUUGUCAGAAUUUUGUGUAUUUAAAAUAUUUUUGCAUUUAUAUCAGUGCUUUUAAAUUCGACCCGAACCCACAGUCAAACCGGUUAAUCCGAUGAUCCGAUAAUUCGAUUAAGGUUUUAAAACUAUCCAUAUUUAGAAAAUCACUAAAACCUGAGACUAACCGAUUGAACCGAUGUAUGACUGAUGUGUAAUCUAAUUUGAUUUAAAUUGUUAUAGUUUCAUAUUUGUAACCUUUUAAUCAAAAUUUUAAAGUUCUUGUUUUACAAUUUUAUGAAAUUAUAACGUUUUUACAAAAUUUUGAUAGAGAAAAUGAUAGAUAUAAAAUAGUUAAGAACAAUAAAUAUGUCUUGAUCAUAUUACUCCUUUUUAUAUAGCUUAAUUAAUUUUAUUAUAAUUGUUCGGUGUAAUUUAUAUUAUUAAUAAUUUGGUUUAUAUUAUAAUCGGUUUAAAUUUGUUGUUAACAAUUAGUGUUAAGCGUUUUUCUUUAGAUAACAUAUAUUUUGAACAUUUUCAUAAUUAUUUUUGUUAUUAUAUUUAUUGUACAACGUUUAUAUAUUUUUUUAUGUAAUGGCUAUUAUUGAAUUAUUAUGUUACUUAAAGAAACGAUAUAAUCAUUAUUUAGGAAAUAUAAAUAAAAUAACCAUUAAUUUAAUUUAUUUAUUAUUGGUUGAACUGUUUUUGUAGUAUUUAAACAUGUAAACAUAAGUUAUAUUUAUUUCGUUGUUUUAUAAAUUAUUUGAAUUUUUCAAUUAUUUAAUUUAUCUAAAUAAUUUGUAAGUAUAUUUUUAAAAUUAUUAAGAAGAUGAAAUCUAAUAUUUUUAUUGUUUGGACACAAGAUUAAUUAUAAUCUUGUUUGGAAACAUGAUAGUAGUAUAAAUAAAGGAGUAUAUUGUUUGGAAAUAUGAAUUAUAAUAUUAAAAAAUGAAUAUUAGUGAUUUAAUAAAGGUUUUACUAUAAAAUAGAAAUAUGUAUUUAAUUUAAAAUUUUAUAAAAUAAAUGUUAAGUGCAACACAAUGUUUCUACUUUAAUAAGAUAGAAGAUGUGUACACAUGAACCUUCACUCGUUUGUUCAGUACCAUCCCUUAUAUAUUAAAAGAGAAGCAUUGUAAUAAAUGCAUUCACACUAUAACGGACACGUGUCAGAUUCACAGUGAUUUGAUAAUAAAUAUGCUAACGCGUUCACACUAUAUUCAUAAAUGUGUUCACACUAUGUAUUUUGCGUUUUUAAAUAUAAAACUCACAUACAUUGUUCCAAUAAAACUCUGGAUUUUUCGGUUCAAAUAAAAAUAGAUAACGAAUCAAAAGCCAAACUAUAUAUAUAUAUAUAUAUAUAUUACUUUUAUUGUUUACAGAUAAAGUUGAGCAAAAUAUUCAUAAAUUUUGAUUCGAAUCGUUAUCCGUUUUGAUUUGAACCAAAUAAUUUGGAUAUCUGUAACUCUACGAAACAAAUCAAAUACUAAAAUUCAAUGACCAAACAAAAAGCAAAUCACAAAUACCAAUAAUUUUAGGAACAUAUAUCUAAUUUGAUCUGCUAUAUGAAUAUAUAUACACAUAUGUAAAGAAUUAUAUAUAUAUAUACAUAUAUAUAUAUAUGUUAUGAAUUAAAUUAAAUAUAUUAGGUACUAAAAUUUAAAAAGUUAAAUAAUGUUUUAUUUUUGUAAUAAAAUGUUAUUAUUAAAAUUUUCAAUUAUUUUAAAAUUUUAUUUUAUUUACGGAUCAAAUCGAUAUUCUUUAAAAUUCUAAAACAUUUCAGAUAUCCGAGUCACCGAAUAUCUAGGUGGCUAAAGAUUGAAUCGGCACGAAUGCUUCCAAAUACCUAUAUAUUCGAUUUGGCCUCACCCCUAUUUACGGAUACAAUUUUAUUUCUUUAUAUGAAAAAUGACUAAUGUCAAAGCCUUUUUUAUUUUAAUUUAAAUUUAAUUUUAUUAUUUUGAACAAAAAUGUCAUUUCAUAUUAAUUAACAAUAUCUUUAUAUAUUUAUCAACUAUUUUUAUAUACUUUUUACAUACACAUACAACAACUGAAAUAUCUAAUUCUUUUGAAAAUUGAUAUAUUUUUUCUUAUUGCUUCUUUUACUACCGACAAAUUGUAGUAAAAUGUUUUGUCUUAAUAAUUUUCUUUUCUUUUUCAUUAAAUAUUAUCUGUUUAGAAACUAUAAUAUGAAACUAUUGGUUCGACAUGACAACUAUCUAAAAUGCAUAACAUGAAAAUAAACAAAUAAUAUUAAUUUUUGGUUUUUACCGAAAAAAACAAAAAAAAAUCGAACAUUUUAACCGAAUAAACUAAAAUGAAUAUUAAUUUAAAAUAAUAGUUAUAUUUUAGAAGAUUAAAAACCAAAAAAAAAACUUAAAACCGAACCAAUAUCCAGAUUAAACAGAUUUAAUGUCUUUUUAUUAAAAAUAUCGAAACUAAUAAUCACAUCCCGCGCAAGGCGCGGGUUAUUACCUAGUAUACAAAGAUUAGGAAAAAAGUAUAUAUGGAAAAACAUUUAUGGACACAAUCAACUCUAUGGAAUAAAAAUUUAACAUCCCGAGUUGUGAUAUAUUGGAAGGCUAAAGAGAAUUGAUUUGAUUACCUAUAUCACCAAAGUUGACUUACCUUUUCCGUCACACAUCCGUUAGAACUCUAGAGUUAAGCGUGCUUGGACUGGAGUAGUGAAAGGAUGGGUGACCUAUCAAGAAAUGAUUCGCGAUACCGUGCGAGUGAGGCCAAAACACGGAGAAAUGUCGGGUGGUGAUUGCAGGGUCAGUAAAACAAUGAUUUCGAAGCCUUGGAAAAUUUAUGCACCGACCGUUGAAACGGGAUGGGACCCACUGGCCGAGAGAGCGGGCGUGGGUGGACAUUUGUUCGGAUUGAUCUCAAACACCGCCUUCCUCACCUCGUCUGUAGUCACCUCCUUUAGUAGCAGCUCAUUCUGUGCUGGUGAUAACAGUUCAGGUAUCUCUUCCCAUUCUGGAAGAUCGAUCCCCACAUCUUCAGUUGAGAAAAGCGUCUUGAAAUACUGCUCUGCUACUCGACCUAGAUCCCUAUCAGCGAACCAUUCUCUACCUUCAUCAUCAAUGAGGCUUUUAAUACGACUCUGAGCUCUUCUGUUCUUGGUUACUGCAAGGAAGAAUUUAGUAUUUCUGUCCCCUGAUCUUAGCCAAUUGAAUCUGCUCUGUAGUAGCCAGAAUUCUUCCUCAUGACAGUACUCCUCAUUUAGCUCCUUUUUCAAAUUCGCCAGUGCAGCUCUCUCAAAGGCCUCUUGCCGCGAUGCCUCAUCAAUUUUAUAGUGUAAUUCUUGGAUACGUAGAGCCGAAUCUGGUUUCGCCUGACGUUUCCAGGAGGAGAUAGCUCGCCGACAAUCUGCGAUUCUACUCAUAAUGCUUGUUUGUCCACUUCUGUGACUCCUCCAGCUAUCGUUGACUGUCGUUACAAAUCCCUCUCUUUUGACACACCUAUGGUCGUAUUUGAAACUGCAUCGCUUCUUUAUAGCAUGACCAUCCAAGGAUGUAAGAACCGGGCUAUGAUCAGAGCAGACUCUAUGUAGAUAAAAGGAGGUCGCUGAAGGAAACAAAUUCAUCCAUUCCUGGUUAGCAAUAGCUCGAUCUAAGCGACAUUGCACUAAAUCAUUGUUUCUUACACCCCCCCCCCUAGAACAAUGGAUUAACCAUGUAUCUAAUGUCCCAAAGACCCCAAUCAAGAUGCAUCUGCUUGAACUCACGUCCAUCGCUUUCUCUUCUCUCUGCUCCACCCUGCUUCUCUGAUUGAUCUAACACCUCAUUGAAGUCUCCGGUCAGCAUCCAAGCCCCUUGCCUUUCUGCUCCAAUCAUCGUUAUAUUCUCCCACACAAAGCCUCUUCUACUCUUGACAGGGUCACCAUACACACACGUCAAGUAAAAGACUUGAUCCUACCACUCCACCUUCAUAUCUAUUAUGCGUUUGUUGGCCUUUAACACCUCGACCUUACAUGAACUCUUCCACAUCACCGCAAGGCCUCCACUCUUCCCUUUGGCGUCCACUGAAAUAAGGAUCAUGAAAACCCAACAUUUCCACAGUGGACUCCAUAUAGAAUCUCCUACUCUUGGUCUCACUGAGGAAUAUUAUCUCAGGAGAAUACUGACCAUGUAUACCCUGUAGAUGUCGAACUGUCGGGGUAUUCCCCAGCCCAUGAUAGUUCCAGCUCAAUAUUAUCAUAUUGAUCUCGAAGGGUUGGUAUUACCCAUCAACCCUUCUUUCAAUUUGGUUCCACUUGUCAAUGCUAUCCUUCGGACAGAAUGAUAUGGGAAAUGUGCUGCUACAUGAGUAAAAUGUAUCGGAGUUCUCUCCACUGCGUAAGCAGAAUGAAUCAUUGGCCCAUUUCCUUCCGCUGCGGUGUCGUGAUGAAUUCCACUCAAUCUCUGGAACACUGAUGGAGAAGCUUCUUUCUUCUCAUGUGAUCCAGUACGAGGUUUCUUCAGCCUUCUCUCAUCACUGUGACUUUGUCUUCUCCUUUUCUGGGCCUGAGAUCCACCAGCGUUUUCUCUCUCCCUUGAUGAGGAUAGUACAUUGCAUUUUAAUCUCUCAAACACUGAUGGGGGGCUUCUACUGCUUUUGCUAGAUUGACCUUUAGCUCUCUCCACUGUAGAAUCACCGCUCAGUCUCAGUCUUAAAUCUCCUUCUACUCCUCUUGCAUUUCGUUUCUCCUUACUGCCCCCCGAGCCUUGCUCUUUCUCGUUACUGCCUAGUCUAUGGAAGACUGACCUUGGCCCUAUGGGAUCCUCAGAAGUACUCUUCUCCUCAGCUCCCAGAUUGACGCUUUUAACUCCGUUAUAAUCUCCCGAGCUUCUUGGAUUAGCUGUAGACUCCUCUGUGCUUCGUGAUUUUCGUGGACCACCACGCUCACUCCUCUGUCUCCAUUCCAAUUGUGGGUUCGAGGCCACCCUCUUCCCUUUUCGUUUAUCCUCCUUGGGGGUGUUAUGAGCUUUACUCUUCCCACCUCUGGAUAUUGUUUCAGUAGGUGCAUUCCAUAUUACUACCCCUUUGGCAGGGACCUUUUGAAGAGCCUCCUUAGCCUUAGAUUCCUUCUCGCUUAGUUUCUUCCUCAGACUCUGCUCCUGGCUUCUUCUCUGGACUGCUCUUUCCUCCUCUUGCACUAUGUUGAUCUGCUGUGUACAUCUAGACUGAUCAUGAGUGAGCCUCUUGCAAGUGUAGCAAAUUUUAAGCAAUUUCUCAUAUUCUAGCUCCGUAGGAAUAGUUACGCCCGACUUAAAUCUUGCUAUCCUCCUGAAAUGUAGAAGCUCCUCCGUAUUGAUGGUCAGCUGGGCUCUAACAUACUCCAGGGAGUUGGAGUUUUUUGCAUGAAGUUCAAUGAGCCCGACCUGUCCCAAUGGUUCGAGAAGGCUCUCCACCACUUGCUUCUUCAACAUAUGGAUUGGAAGCCCUCUUAUUCAUACCCAAAAAGUAAGCCUUUCAAGAAAUUCCGGAGGAGGGUUUGGUGUCCAUUGAUCGAGAGAUACCACCCACCCAUUAACAAACCAAGGCCCUUUCGUAAGAACAUGUUGCAAAUCUCCUUCUGAAGCAAAUGUAAACUGGACUCUGUUUUCACCAACUUCUCUUUUUCGAGCUUUGUCUUCCAAUCCCCAGAUGGGUGGGAGAGGCUUCACUAGCCCUCCUAUUUUGUAGACGUAAGGGUUGAGGCAUCUGACAAUGACACUGAGGCUGUUCUCUUCGAUAAGGUCUUCUAUCUCCAGAUCUGGAAUGUCCACCAUCUCUCCUUCUUCCAGAAGCUUCAUCCCCUUGAGCUCUUCCAUUAAGGAUGGCUUUUUCUUCUUUCGAAAACGAUUCAUCUUGAGUUCCGAGAUUUGUUGAGGUUUGAUUCUCGAUACCCAAGAUAACUGAGAAGUCACCAAAACUUAAUGAAAUAUGUAACUGUGAUUUGGUUCACCUUUGAAAGGCUUACCAGCUAACACCACACUCUAGGACCUUCUUAACCCUUCAUCGUACGCUGUAGAUACCGGAGAAGUUUCUUCACUUAGAGAUAGAAGGAUUGGAUGAUGCUUCCUGAUUUACCGUGGUAAUCUCGAUCUAGAUCUGAAUCUUCUUUACGAUCUGAUUUACCGUGAUAAUCUCGAUCUGAUUUACCGUGGUAAUCUCGAUUUGUGAAUAUUAUUUUAUUGAACAAGUUUGCACAAUACACCUAUCUAUAUAUAUAUAUAUAUAUAUGUUAACCUUUAUAAACCUUAGAAAGAAAAAAAAAAGGAAAAUAUCCUAAAUUAAAUAAAUAUGGACACAUCACAACAUUGGUAAGUUUCCUUUUUUUGUUUUGUGUACGAGAUAAUUGGUAAUUAUCCUAUUCUCCUAAUAUCACUCUUUGGAGAAAGACGAAAGAGGUUUAGGUAAGCUUGGAACGCAGCUUGUUCUCUUAAACUAUUUUGGCAAUACGAUCAUCCCCUUUCAUAUCUCUUUAAAUUAAUAGAUAAUAUAUCCUCCCUUUUUUUUGUGUUCAUCCUCAGACUCUUCCUUGCUCAUCACGCCAAGUUGAUGAAGCCUUGAGGUUGCCGGAAUCCUUCUUUCUAUGAUAUCCACGGACCUGCUGAGCCCUUGUUCGCUCCUCCUCAGCAGCUAGAAGAUGCAGACUUGUUUCAAAAGAUGAUGAAAAAGCUGAUGUUUCCUCAGAUGAUUUUCCUGCUGACAUGUUUGAUCAAGUUGAUGAUCCAAGUAAGGAGUCCUUACAUUGUUCUCGUUCUUGUUUCUAUCCAAUUUUUUUCCCACUUCCUAUUUGUUUUCUAACUACAUUCUUAUGUAAUGACAGUUCUUGGAACGGGAGACCUCAAUGAUAUUCUCAAAGCAGAUGAGAAAGUGGGUGGUCCGGACAGACCUGAAGGCUCCUACUCAGAUCUCAGGACUUUCUUUUCGGAAGGUGAUCUGUAUGACCUGCAUCACUCCGGAGACCCAUUAUCAUGGCGAGGCCAGCGCGGAACUCAUCUAGUCCGGUGCCGAUUGGACAGAGCAGUGGCUAACAGUUCUUGGGCAGAAAAUUAUCCUACUGCAAGAUGCCAUUACCUCGAGUAUGAGGGUUCGGACCACAAGCCAUUAGUUUCCUUCCUUGACCCAUCCAUCUUGAAAAGGAAGGGACUGUUUCGGUAUGAUAGGAGACUCAGCUCAAAUGAGGAGGCCAAGCAAGUAAUACGCCGGGCAUGGGCGGAAAGUUCAGAUAAUCGUAUCAUGGAUAAAUUAGCAUCAACAAGAGGUGCGAUUUCUGAAUGGAACCGGCUUCAACAGCGCAAUAGCAAGGCGCUUAUAGAACAGAAUAAGUUUGAACUGGAGAAAGCGCUCACAAGUCCUGUUAAUGAUACUGGCCUUAUCAAAGAGAUCAGUGACAAACUCGAGAAAGCGUACAUUGCGGAAGAGGCAUUCUGGAAACAAAGGAGCCGCCUCCUAUGGCUCCAACUAGGAGACCGCAACACGGGCUUCUUCCACGCUACCACCAAGAAUAGACGUCGGAGAAACGCCUUUACUGUCUUGGAAAACGAGGAGGGAUUGGUGGUCUACAAAGAGGCUGAUAUCGCCAAAACGGUGGUGGACUACUACAACAAUCUCUUCACUUCAGUGCCUCGAAACUGCUCUGAUACUGUCCAAGAUGCACUAAAACCGGUGAUCAACCAGGAAGAGAACGAGCUUUUGAUAGCAAUACCGUCAGCGACCGAGAUUAAAGAAGCAUUGUUUGCUAUAAAUGGAGAGAAAGCACCAGGCCCGGAUGGUUUUUCAGCGAGCUUUUAUCACACCCAUUGGGAGGAUAUUGGACCGGAUUUAGUGAAGGAGAUUCAACAGGCCUUCAGUACUGGGUGCCUCCCGCCGGAGAUCAACAAUACCCAUGUCUGCCUCAUUCCAAAAAUCACCACUCCCCAACGAGUCUCGGAUUAUCGCCCUAUUGCAUUGUGCAAUGUAUACUACAAGAUCUUCUCCAAAAUCCUUCAGAGACGCCUCCAACCGCUGCUGGAUAAGUUGAUUUCAGAGAACCAAUCCGCUUUUGUUCCGGGGAGGGCAAUAGGUGAUAAUAUCCUAAUCACGCAUGAAGUUUUGCACACGCUAAAAACUUCGAAGGCUGAGGUCAGAGUGGCUAUGGCGGUUAAGACCGACAUGAGCAAAGCUUACGACCGUCUUGAAUGGAAUUUCAUUUCAUCCGUGCUAGAGACGCUGGGUUUUCACCAUCUUUGGAUUGGCUUGAUUAUGCAGUGCAUCUCGUCUGUUACAUACUCCUUCCUCAUCAACGGUUCGCCUAGAGGACAGGUUAUACCGAGCCGCGGGAUUCGCCAAGGCGACCCCCUAUCUCCCUACAUCUUCAUACUUUGUAGUGAGGUGCUCUCGGGUCUCUGUAACAGAGCACAACAAGACGGACUCAUCCAAGGAAUUCAGGUGGCAAGGGGGUGUCCCCGGAUUAACCACCUGCUGUUUGCGGAUGAUACGAUGUUCUUCCUCCAAGCAAGUAAAGAAUCUACGGCAGCGCUCAAAUCGAUCCUAUCCAGAUACGAAGAAGCAUCGGGCCAAUCGAUCAAUAAGGACAAAUCCUCGAUCACGUUCUCUCGGAAAGCUCCGGCAGAGUUGAAGCAAAGGGUGCAUAGCGAGCUUCAGAUCAUGAAGGAGGGAGGCGUUGGAAAAUAUCUCGGUUUACCAGAACACUUUGGACGGCGCAAGAGGGAUCUCUUCGCCUCUAUUGUAGAUAGGAUUAAGCAAAAGGCAAGCGGGUGGUCGAACCGGCAUCUCUCCACUGCUGGUAAACUGGUGAUGCUGCAGAGUGUGCUCACUCCAAUCCCAUCCCAUUCAAUGUCUUGUUUCAAACUGCCGGUUUCUCUCUGCAAGCGCAUACAGUCUGCUUUCUUGCGGUUCUGGUGGGAUGGGGGAGAUGGUAAACGCAAAAUGGCCUGGAUAGCUUGGGAUAAAAUGACUCUUCCUAAGGGAAGCGGAGGUUUAGGCGUGCGCGACAUCCAAGCAUUUAAUGAGGCCUUUCUAGCGAAGAUUAGCGUCAGAUUAAUUGAGAAACCGGAAGGCCUGCUAAGCAGAACGCUUCUCCCCAAGUACUGCCCGGAGGGAGACCUCCUUAGUUGCUCUUCCGUAAGUGGGGCUUCACAUGGCUGGAAUAGUAUCUUAGCAGGGAGGGAUCUCUUACUAAAGAAGUCGAGUUGGCUGGUGGGAAAUGGCGAAGACAUUAGAGUAUGGGACGAUCCGUGGCUGAGCCUUGACUGCCCUCGAAGACCUAUGGGGCCGCCACCUCUAGGUUCAAAAGAUUGGGUUGUCAAAGACCUCAUUAUCCCCGGAACGGGAGCUUGGAAUCGGGAGCUGAUUCAAGCAGUGUUACCGUUUGAGGAAGAAAGCAUUCUAAGAUUACAGCCCAGUUCUAAAGAUGCACCGGAUGCUUUAAAAUGGAUUGGCACGAGGGAGGGAAAGUACUCAGUUAAAUCAGGGUAUCAUGCUGCUAUGGAGGAAUUCACUGAAACAAUUUUAGAGGAUGAGCCUACUGUGGAGUUUGAUUGGCGCAAGACGGUCUGGAACUUAAAAAUAGCACCUAAAGUGAAGAUGUUUACCUGGAAGUCCCUAAAAGGAAUUCUCCCAGUGAGAGAAAGGUUGGAAGCGCGACACAUUGCGGUGAACUCCUCUUGUAAGCGUUGCGGUAGCUUAGAAUCUAUCAAUCAUCUCCUGUUCUAUUGUCCUUUUGCUCGAGAAGUGUGGGAUCUCUCCCCUUUUCACGGAGGCUUUGGCAUCAGCGGAUUGACAGACUUGAGAGCUGACUGGUCGGAUCUUCAUGCAGCUAAAUGCUUACCACCCGCAGGCAUCACAUCAACUUCUCUGUUUCCAUGGAUAUUGUGGUUCCUGUGGAAAGCUAGGAACAAAUAUGUUUUUGAGAACUUUGCUGGGAAUCCAGCUGAGACCCUGUCAAUGGCAAUUGCAGCAGCACGCGAAUGGGAGAUCGCUCAAUGGACCAUUGAGAAAAAAGACCACCCGAGAGCACCGGGAACUCCCCAACUUGCAGCUUCGGUGAUACAGUCUGAUGCAGCCUGGGAAGCAACAUCAAACAAUGCGGGCCUUGCGUGGAUUUUAAAGACAGGGGAACAGAGUAUGACUGGGAUGAAAGGGUCAGCUUCAUCUCCUCGGCUUUAAUUGCGGAAGGCUUGGCAAUGAAAGAAGCGAUGGCCGCGUGUAAACUCAAAGGACUGAGGAAAGUCCGCUUUGAAUCCGACUCGAGCCAACUGAUCACGGCGAUAAACCGGAACGAACCACCGCUGGAACUCUAUGGGAUUGUUCAAGACAUUGUUUGUAUGGCAAGGGAUUUCGAGAUCGCCAUUUUCUUUUGGAUUCCUAGAUUGAAGAAUGUUAAUGCAGAUUUGCUAGCUAAAAACGCUUUGAUUGUAUUUGGGCAGGAAGUGGCUGGGAAUUUACUCCCCCCACCGAACUAAGUUUGAAUUGAAUGAAGUUGAUUUGUGACAAAAAAAAAAAAAGACAGUUCUUGUUUCUCUGUUUAAUAUGAAAGUUGUUUUCUUUUUCUUGACAGAAGUGUAUAAGUCUUAUUUGAUUUGAAUGGAAAUUUUGAAACCGUGAUUCAUAACACACAGAAACAUUUCAAAUACAACCAAAAGUACAGAAACAGAGAGGCACUUCAGAGCAUUGACUAAACCGGUGUUCGACUUAUGACAGGAUCAUCACUAAAAUAAUCAUCAUGACUAAACCUGAUUCCAGCUUGACCAUGACUCAAAACCACCUCAUACUCCCCAUUUACAACAGACCCAUCUUUGCUUGAGACCUCUCUUCUCAACUCAACAUAAGCACAAUAGUCUACUUCAUACACAGUUGUAUCCUUAUAGAAAGUCGAAAAUGUAGUUCCUACUCCUUCCCCUGAAAACACCAUCAAAUAGGCUCAGAACUAGAAUGUAACUUCACACAGUACAUUAGUAAAAAAAGUAAGAGACUUUCUUACCGUGGGUGACUAGGAGCAAGUUCUCUGUAGGAUGCUUAUCAGCAAGAGCCUUUACAAUUUUAACAUAACGUUCUCUGCAACCUUCCACAGACUCUUCCCAUUCUGGCAUCUGAACAGAAUAGUUUAUACUAAAAUUCAAAAAAUGGAAAAAAAAAAAGAUAGAAACUUUUGAAAGGUUCUAAAAGAGAUUCACCUCUUUAUAAACCAUAUCCACAUUAUGAUCAACCAUUCCUUCAGGAAACAGAGCUUCAAGAUCUGAUAACCUGAAGUCAAAGUUUCCAUCUUUAGGAGCAAGCUCACGCCUUAUAGCCACCGGGUUCAACAUCUCACACAAACCAUACUCAAUAGCAACCUGUACAACACGACAAGUAGUAACUACAAUCAACAUCUGAUCAGCACACUACUCUAUUAGAAAGUCUUCUAAAAAUCGGUGUAGGCGGGACUAAGGCUAAAUCGGACUUAAAACAAAACAAUUUUUCUAUAAAAUAAAUUAAAAAAACAGACUUCAACAAAACAAUUUUUUUUUAAACAAAAAUUUAAAAAUCGGUCUAUACUAUAAAGUGUCUAAAUUGACGUCCAGUGAUUUUUUUGAAAAUUGCUAUUUAGGAACAGAACACUAGUUAGUUAGGAACAGAACAUGUUUAAAUGUUCAAACUUUCCGACAAAAACAGGGGAUGAUGAUCUGUUGACCUUGAGCUUAGAUGUAUCAACGGAAGGUACAUCUUUAGAAGACAUGGCGUUAGGGUCAACAUUGACCGCGGAAAGAGCUGAGACAACCUCGGAAGCUGUCUGAAUGCAACGGAGGAAAGGGGAGACGAAGACGCGGUGAAUCGGGAUCUGAGAUCGGAUCCUUUGACCGGUUCUGAAAGCUCGAAUCAUGCCGUCUUGAACUAGAGGCGGAUCCCAAGGCCUGGCAGCUGUUGAGACCCAAAGUGGCUCGAAGUUGUCGAUUCGAUCUCCGUGGCGCAUCACGAAGACGUGUUGGUAGGCAUCGUUGUUGGGUUUUGGAGAUGAGUCCAUAUUGUUUCUUUUGUCUCUCUCUUCGAUGUCGCUUUUGCUGGUGUGUGUGUCGUUUCUUUGCGACUCGGUUUAUAUAAGAAACGUUUUUUUUUAACUUUUCUUAACGUCAUUAUCAUAGCACAGUGGAACUGUAAAAACAAAUUUACUAUUUAGAACUUGAUCGCUUUUGUUAUUACCAACUAUAGAACAUUGUGUUUCCAGGUGAUAAGUUGUUAGCUUUUGAUAACGAUUACAAUUUUUUUUUAAUUGUUUCGUAUUGAUCCGAAUUACUCAAUAUUAAAAUCUGGUUUUCUAGAACAUUUACGGUUGAGAACACUACUUGUAAAUAAAUAAUAAAAUGUAUUUUUAGAAAUAAAUUUAUUUAAAAAUAUGAAAUAAAUUUUAAAUUAAGAUUUAGACACUAUAAUUAUAAAUAAAUUUAAUAUAUUAUAUAUUUAUAGUUUGUAUUCACUAAUCCCUAUUAUAAUUUAUAUUUAUAAGAAUUUUAUACUGAAAUAUAUUUAAAAUAUAAUAUUAAAUUUUAUAAAAAAAACCUUCCUAAAAAAAUUCAUAUAGACAAAAUAUCAUAUAAACAUUAUUAGUUGCAUUCAUUUAAUUAAUUACUAUAAUACUAUAAAAUGAAAAAAAAAUUAUUAUUAAUUAUAUAUAUUUUUUAUUUUUUCAUAACUAAAUAAUGUAUUAAUAUUAUUAAUUUAUUAUUAAAUCAUUGUUGCACAUGCUAUUCAACCAAUUAUAAAUAUUUCAUAAACACAUAUUUCUAAAUGUUACAUUUAUAAAUCGCUUAAUAAUAGUUAAAAAUUUAAUCAUUUUAAUAUGUAAAUUUUAGUAAUAGUGAUUCCUAUAUUUAAAUUGGAAGCUAUUUAAUUUUUGAAUAGUGACAGUUGAUUGCGUAGUUUGAGAUGAACAUAUUUGAUAUAGCGGACCGUUUAAAUACAAUUUGUUAUAGAAAAUACAUAAUGCGGAAAAAUACGGUUCAUCUGAAAUAAGAGGUUUAAAACUAAAUUUGAAUAAUAACAUGUAUAAUAAACAGUGUUACAAAAUAAAUAUUAUUUAAAAGAUAGUUUUCAUUUUUUUUUGUAAAACUUACCAUAUAUUUAUAUCAUAGAUUUGUAUUGAUUAAAAAUAAUUUUUAAAAACAAAUCGUAGUACCUAUCCAUAAAUAUUGUCUCUUUAAAUUAGUAUUGAUAAAAUUGAGUAAAUAUUUUAUAUUUACAUAGAAAGGUAAAAUUAAAUAAAGUAAAUAUUUUAUACUUAUAUCAAUACAUAUCAUAUAUAAAUAUAAUGCAUAAAUAACAUGUUAUUUCAUACAUUAGAAUUUAACGAAAUACAUGUCACUGCAAUUUUAACGAAAUACAUGUUACUACUCUAAAAUUAUGUUAUUGUGGCUUUAAAAUCAAUAAAUACAUUAGAAUUUCACAAAACACAUCUCUCUUCCACUAAUAUACAUAUUUAAACUAUAUUACUAUAUACUUGCAUAAUAUAUAUUAUAAUUAAAACAUGCAUUAUUAAAUAUAAUAAUUUAACUAAAUCUAAAAAUUAUAUGACGAAAAUAAAAAGAAAAUAAGUAGACAAUGAUAAAUUUUGUAUUGUUAAAUUUGUAAGUAAAAUAUAAUGAGAAUGUUGUAUUUAUAAAUGCAGAUAAAUAAAUUUUAAAAUUAAAUAUUUGUGACAAAAUUAUUUAUUGACCAACAAAAAAGAAGGAGAAAUAAACAACACCAAAUAUAUAGCAGAUGAGAUGUACAUGCAUAUCUCCCAUUUUUUCUAGAAAUAUUUUUCUUGAAAAACAAAAAAUAUUAAACUGUAUACAGAUCUUGCAUUUUAGAAACAGAAAGUUGCAAAUGAAGAUUUUAAUGCGAAAGAACUGCAUGUAGGGCAUAACUAAACUUCUUCCCUACACCAUUCAAAAUUUUAGUUUAAAUGUAAUUACACCACAUGUCUACGAUCGACAUCUAUUCUAGCGAGUCAUGACAACGUUAACACUGUCUUUGAAAAGGAUAACAAUGUUUUGGCUUUUGUAUUAUAAAGAAGAGGUUGAGUGGAGAGAAAAAGGAGAGACACAUGGAGAUGGUGAUGAAUAAAGUGACGUAAAGAACUUUGAGUUGAUUACUUAAUGGACCACAUUAUGUCUUUCUCUUACACUAAAAGAUACAUAGCACAUGUGAGGCACUUUCCCUUGCCCAAAGACAAAAAAUUGACUAAUAUACCCUUACUAAAGACAGUUUGAUAUUUUGCUUCCUAAAAGGAAACCAGUUUGGUCUAUGUAGCUCGGUGUAGGUUUAGGUUUAUUGAUUGAAGUCACUUAAUUUAGACCGUCAGAUCUGGAUCUUGUGUUUCUAAUCAAAGGCCAAAAUUAAAACUUAAGAAGUAAGGUAGCUAUGAUAAAGGACGUAAAUUUGUUGUGUUGGGUGUGGAGGAAGCCACUCUCGUUGUUAAAGUUUCUGUCUUUAUUGGAACUGUUCUUGGCAAACAUUGAAGGUGUCGAUUUGUUCUUGUUUUGGGUUUGACAUUAAUCGAUCCAAGUCAUUCACUUUAACGCUUGAUAUUUGUGUUUCAGGUUGGUGCGAUGGAGGAUCAGUGCAUGGUCAUGUGCGGCGAGUGGGUUUGUGAUAAUGGAGGAAAGUGGGAUUUUGUGCUUGACAAGCGUCAGAUGGCGCGGCUGAUUCCUUUGUACGAAGGAAUGAGCUUGUUUGAGCUUCAACGCAACGUCUUGCGUGAGUUUUGCGUGGAGGAGGGUUUGUUUGUGGCUGCGCUUAGCUACUGGCCGCCGUCGAACUUGGAGCUAGCGACCGGGAUAAAGACCCCGCCGGUAUUACUGACAAGUGAUGGAGGUAUAAGAUACUUUCUGCAGCAUUUGAGAGUGAAAGGAGCUAUGAAUCUGUUCGUGAAAUUUGAGAGGACCAGCUCCGACGAUUUCGUUGAUGGUUCCGGAAUGGGUUUUGUAACGCCGUUGACAUGUAAACCGAAGGGAACUUCCAAGUUGAGUUCUUGCGCAUCCAAAAAAAACACACCUUUUGUUUGGUCGGCGACUUCAAAGUGGAGUUCUUGCUCGACCCAAAAGGAAGCACCUUUUGUUACGGCGGAGGAUUGUAAUCCGAAGGUGAGUGGUGGCUCGUCGAGCCAUUGUUUUGUGACGAGAGAAGGUCCAACAGAUGCUCCAGAAGAGGCUCCAGAAGAGGCUCGCAGAAAGAUUCCAACUUCGCGUGUUGUUAAUGGUGAGGAUGUGGAGUUUGUACGUGAGGUUGAAAGGGUUGAAGAAGUAAUCAAUUGUGGGAGUGUGUUCAGACAUGAAGAAGUUCUAAGCGGCAAAAAUGUUUUGGAAGAUGCUGUGGAUGAGGUUGAUGAGAGAGACGUCAGGCCUAGAGGCUAUGACAAAGAUUUUUGGAGUCCACUUCUCAACGACGACUAUGAUGGGUCUAAUGCUGUUAAUGUUAUCUACAAUGAAGAUGAGCUUGUGGAAGAUUUGAUGAAGAAUAGUGGUGGUAGAAGCAGCGCUAAAAGUGACUCUGGUGAUGACAAACCGACGUGGAUGGGGACUAACACCUACAAUCCGUGGACGGGUGGGGAGAGCAGUGUUGACAGGAUGCCACGAGUUUCAACAAGAAAGCUAGAAGACGUCGAUGAUGAGGAGUUUGAUAUUCCGCCACUUUUUGGUGAUACCAGCUAUGCUGCAGCAGAGAUACCAGACAUGGACUUGGAGGAAGGUGAUGGAAGGAUCCAUGUUGGGAAGGUGUUUGGUAACAAAGAAGAUUGUCAAAUAUCACUGGCUAUAUACGCGAUAAGGAAUCAGUUCCGUUUCAAACAGACUAGGACAAAAGUUGACUCUUUUGUGGUGGAGUGUCCUGAUCCAAGGUGUGAUUGGCGUGUGACAGCCCAUGAAAUAAGAGGUACUGGCUAUUACGAGAUCAGGAAAGCACAACUAGAUCAUAGCUGUCCGAUUGAUUUUAGACAGGGCUAUAAGAGUAAAGCUACAGCACGGGUGAUUGCAGCUGUGUACAAAUCGAAAUUUGGUGAUCCAGGAAAAGGGCCGGUGCCAUCCGAAUUGCAGAAGCUUGUGCUGGAGGAUCUUCGUGUAACUGCUUCUUACAUGAAAUGCUAUAGGGCUAAAGAGAAGGCUGUAAUCGACAUUCAUGGUUCUGAAGAAUCUUCUUAUUUGAAACUGCCUGAGUAUUUGCAUAUGUUAAAACUUGCGAAUCCUGGUACAGUGGCUGAUAUCGAAACAGAGGUUGAUGAGGAUGGUGAUGAGCGGUUCCUUUAUCUGUUUCUUGCCUUUGGAGCGUCUAUACAAGGUUUUAAGAAGCUACGGCUGGUGCUGGUUGUAGAUGGAACACACUUAGGAGGCAAGUACAAAGGUGUGUUACUCACGGCAAGCGGACAAGAUGCAAAUUUUCAGAUUUUCCCUCUAGCUUAUGCUAUUGUGGACAGCGAAGAUGAAGAAGCAUGGACUUGGUUCUUGAUGAAGUUGGAGAGGAUAUUAGGUGAUUCUCCUAGGCUGGCAAUCAUAUCUGACCGUGCAGCAUGCAUUGCAUCAGCUGUGAAACGUGUGUACCCUUCUGCUAAUCACGGUUACUGCAUUGUUCAUUUGGCUAGAAACGUCAACUCUCGUAACUCAAGCAAAAACUUGGCUAAAAUGGUAACAUCAACUGCAAUGGCUUACCGUAUCGGAGAUUAUAGGGAUCUGUUAAGCAAAGUAAGGUCUCAGAGGAGUGAGUGUGGAGUGUAUCUGAGUAAGAUUGGUGUUGCUCAUUGGUCAAGGGCUAACUUCCCGGGAGACCGCUAUAACAUCAUGACUAGUAACAUAGUGUUGGGGUCAAAAACGGUUACGACGGAAUUACCACCCGAAAAUCCUCAGAGAUCGUAUUUCCGAAAGAGUUAGUAAAAGAAGGGAUAUAAUUUUCGUAAAAAUAACCUAUACGAGGUUAUUUCUACGAAGAAGUAUUCUUUGGGAUUCAAACCAAACGAUCGUCCCGCUCGGUCGUUACGUAGCGACCGAGCUUAGCCAGGCUCGGUCGCUACGUAGCGACCGAGCGAUCGUCCCGCUCGGUCGCUACGUAGCGACCGAGCGAUCGUCCCGCUCGGUCGCUACGUAGCGACCGAGCUCGAGCCAAAGCUCGGUCGCUACGUAGCGACCGAGCGAUCGUCCCGCUCGGUCGCUACGUAGCGACCGAGCUCGAGCCAAAGCUCGGUCGCUACGUAGCGACCGAGCGAUCGUCCCGCUCGGUCGCUACGUAGCGACCGAGCUCAGCCAAGCUCGGUCGCUACGUAGCGACCGAGCGAUCGUCCCGCUCGGUCGCUACGUAGCGACCGAGCUCGAGCCAAAGCUCGGUCGCUACGUAGCGACCGAGCGAUCGUCCCGCUCGGUCGCUACGUAGCAACCGAGCUCGAGCCAAAGCUCGGUCGCUACGUAGCGACCGAGCGAUCGUCCCGCUCGGUCGCUACGUAGCGACCGAGCUCAGCCAAGCUCGGUCGCUACGUAGCGACCGAGCGAUCGUCCCGCUCGGUCGCUACGUAGCGACCGAGCUCGAGCCAAAGCUCGGUCGCUACGUAGCGACCGAGCGAUCGUCCCGCUCGGUCGCUACGUAGCGACCGAGCUCAGCCAAGCUCGGUCGCUACGUAGCGACCGAGCGAUCGUCCCGCUCGGUCGCUACGUAGCGACCGAGCUCGAGCCAAAGCUCGGUCGCUACGUAGCGACCGAGCGAUCGUCCCGCUCGGUCGCUACGUAGCGACCGAGCUCAGCCAAGCUCGGUCGCUACGUAGCGACCGAGCGAUCGUCCCGCUCGGUCGCUACGUAGCGACCGAGCUCGGGCCAAAAGCUUGGUCGCUACGCAGCGACCGAGCGAUCGUCCCGCUCGGUCGCUACGUAGCGACCGAGCACUCGUUUCGCUCGGUCGCUACAUAGCGACCGGGCUCGAGCCAAAGAUCGGUCGCUGUAUAGCGAUUGAACCUUUCCGAACAUCGAUACGACACCAGUCCUUGCAUUCUCGUCAAACCUUCGAAUGCUAUCUCCCGAAGACCGUAGCAAGCUCAGUCUAUGUUUCCCGCUAUUCUAAUUCAUCGAUCAAACUUCGCGGAUUAGAAACCGCGGAAAACUCGUAGUAAACGUGUCGAGUCGGAAGACGGCCCAAAGGGACCUAAAACACGACUCGAGGCCCAUCCUACGAUUUUUCCUAACCAAAAGCCCGUGAACCACAGCAUGGUUCGCGCUUGGCCCGCGAGGAAGGAUAAAUGUCAAGUUUCCGCGGAUAAAUACGGAAGUUUUGAAGAUAAUUGUGAAGAUCGGGAAAAAUGGAAUAUCUCCAUUUUUAUGCUAUGACGGCUUAAGGGCAGAAGAGUAAAAGCGUAAACCGACCUUGGAGCUAGUAUAUAAGGAGUCCUAGGCGAGGAGCAGAGAAAAGAACUUUUUCAGAGCAAACUUAGCACUUAGAGCGAUUUAGGCAACUUUCCGUUUUUGUUAUUUCGAGCUGCGACUCAAUUAGGUUUAGCCGUCUUAGGGUUGCUAGAACUAGGAAUCUCGCCGACAGCUCUCGAGCCCAGGCUUAUACCUUGUUGUAACGCUCAUACGCAGAUUCGGAAUAAGAUCUAUUUUGCUCUCUUUUCGAUUUCUUAUUUUUAUCGUUGUUAUUCUCGUGUUCUGAUUGCUUGACGUGUGGUAAUUAACAGAUAUCCGGGUCCUCUGGGAAACUAGGGUUUUCUUAGUUUCCUUAUUUAAACGGAAAUCGACAGUGCGAAUUUCGGUUCCCACAGUUUGGCGCUAGAAGGAGGGGGACUUACGGAUCAAUCUAACCCGCAAAAGCCACACACAGUCAGACAUGUCAACCAACGACGCGGAUAACGUGCAAACUCCCCUUAACGGAGGCAGCGGCACCGAUCUCCACACUCCGGUAGCGGACGUAUCUGCGGCCAACGCGCAAGCCAACGCCGCGACUCUCGAGGAGUUUAAAAAGAUGUUCGCCACCUAUGAAAAAAGGUCGGAAGAACAGGAUAAGCUCGUGAAUACCUUGACCAAACAGGUUGAAACCUUAACGGCAAGGACCCAAGCUAUCCGUCCCCGCGGAACCACCAAAAUCCGCGGGAAGAGGCUCGAUUUCGCCACCCCACUCGAUAGAGCAGGAGUCGCGCGGGAACGACCUUCCGGUCAAAACCCCAGCGAGAAGUCUCCCAUCGAGAAGGGGAACUCUGAAAGUCUUCCGCUCCCUGCAAAGGACUCGGAGGAUAACGAAGCCGAACACAUUGACCUGGAUCCUAGCGAUGUCUCCAACGACAGCGACGAGGAUGGCGACAGACAUCCAAGAAGGACCAGAAGCCGAUCCGCUCGGGAAGGCUCCCCGUUCGAAAAACCAAUGACGGAAGAAGAAGAAGUCGCCUAUUGGAACGAACAAGAGGAGCUGGCCGAAAGGCAAACCGAGCUCACUCGCAGUAAGCGCCGACAGGCUCGGAAAUCCUCUGACGAGACAUCGGAUAUCCGCGAUCUUCGCGACUACAUCACCAAGACUGCGGCAGAAGUGAGAGCCGUAAAGUCUCAAAUCCAUCAUGCUACUAGUGCCGCCCCCGAGAUCGAUCGACUGCUGGAAGGAGCUCGAAAGACCCCCUUUACCAGUCGCAUUUCGGACAUGAGGGUGUCCGAUCCGGGAAAGAUCAAAGUACCGAAGUACGAUGGUACGGCCGAUCCGAAAGCGCACCUUCAGGCUUUCCACAUCGCGAUGGGAAGAGCAAGACUGAAGGACGGCGAAAAGGAUGCCGGCUAUUGCCGCCUGUUCGUCGAAAAUCUUGAAGGAGCAGCGCUCGAAUGGUUCGCACGCCUUCGUCGCAACACCAUCGGGAGUUUUCGACAGCUCGCAUCGGAAUUCCUCAAACAGUACUCUGUAUUCAUAGACAGGGAAACCUCCGAUGUUGAUCUCUGGAGUCUCUCCCAGAGGGAAGACGAACCCCUCCGCGAGUUUAUCAGUCGAUUCAAAUUGAUAAUGUCCAGGGUCAGCGGGAUAAGCGACAAAGUGGCCAUCGACGCGCUGAGAAAGACGCUCUGGUACAAGUCGAAAUUCAGAAAAUGGAUAACUCUCGACAAACCGCGAACGAUCCAGGACGCCCUCCACAAAGCAACGGACUAUAUCAUAGUGGAGGAAGAAACUAAAGUCUUAUCGCAAAAACAUAAGCCGGCAAGACCAUCCUCGAAAGACGCAGAUCCGAAGGGGAAAAAGAAGAACUCUCGUAACGACAAGUACGUCCAUCACGAGGGGGAAGAUCUCCAAGGGGCGCAUAACUAUGCGAUCAGUUCGGAUCAAGGCCGGACCACGGGCAACACAUGGACUCGCAAUCAAGGGUAUGACGAGAACACCUUCUGCGAGUUCCACCAAUCCCGAGGACACUCCACGACUAAUUGCAAAGUCUUAGGAGCAAGACUGGCCGCGAAGCUGCUCGCUGGAGAGCUUUCGGAAGUAACUAGCGUCAAGGAUCUCAUCCUCGAUUCUGAUCGGCCUCCAAAGACGGACAGAAAUCCGCCCGCCGAAAAAUCUCCUCAACGAAACCAACCUGGGGAUAAACGCGGUAGGAGGCCGGAUGACAAAGGGAACGAUAACAAUCGUCGCAGAGUCAAUAUGAUCAUCGGAGGAUCUCAAUACUGCGGCGAUACCGUGUCAGCCAUCAAGGCUUACCAACGGAAGGCAGAAUCAAGCGCAAAAUGGCCUACAUGGUCUCCUCCUCGAGACGGCCAAAAUUGCUCGAUCACCUUCACGGAGGAAGAAGCCGGCGGUAUCGACCAACCUCACUGCGACCCUCUCGUCAUAGAUCUCGUCAUACGAGAUUUAGAAGUCGGAAGGGUACUCGUCGAUACGGGAAGCACGGUCAACGUAAUCUUCCGCGACACUCUCAAUCGGAUGAGUAUCGAACUCGGAGAGGUAAUUCCGACGCCAAAACCACUCACGGGUUUUUCAGGCGAAGUGUCGAUGACUCUCGGGUCAAUCCAAUUGCCAGUCAUGGCCAAGGAGAUCACGAAAAUCGUCGAAUUCGCGGUAGUCGACCAUCCCGCUAUCUACAACGUGAUCAUGGGAACCCCAUGGCUCAACGCCAUGCAGGCAGUUCCGUCAACUUACCACCUGGGUCUCAAGUUCCCAACGCCGAGCGGAGUCGCGGCCAUCUGGGGAUGCCAAAAACAGUCGCGACUAUGCUUCCUCGCGGAGCAUAAGUUAAGGCAAAUCACGGCUUCUGCAAACGGCAAACGCGCGAAGAUAGAUCGAUCUUCGGCCAAAAGCACCCCGCACAAGGACGAAGUAAAAUCGUCUGUCAACGCAAACGCAUCGGACGUCGAAGCUCGACAUAAAUCCGAAGCCCACGCGACAACUCAACCGGAACAUCCGGAAAAUAGCGUCGACCCAGCCACGAUCGACACGGUCAAGGCGGACAUCGCGACACCAACCGCCGAGUAAGAACACUCGCGGCAUGAAACAGAACUACGAGAUGGCUUGAUCCUCGAAAGGGGUACGUAGGCAGCUUGUCAAAAGACGAGUUCAGCUAUCCCCCUCUCUAAAAAGGGGGGGGGAGUGGGUGCGUAUACUCGUAUACUCCCACAAUCGCCAUUAUUGUAAUCGAGUUUUUAGAAACAUAAAAAUUUUUACAAUAUACACUGUCUUUUUAUCGAAAACGCUUACGCUUCAGUUUACGCUCGUCUGCGGCCUCAUCCGGCCCAAAAAUCGUAAAGAUUAUCACCUUUCAAACACGCAUAAUCCUCGAAAAUAACUGCGAGACGUCGCAAAAAGUUAAAAUUCGAGGACAAUGCUAAACAAAUUGUCCGAACGCGACCACCAAAAACCUUACACCCCGUUCGUCGAUUGGCCCCGACGAACACGCCAGCCGUCUUAAACAAACGCAAUCCGAUCACUCUUUUGAUCUUUAAAAACGUCCAGCACAAGGACAAAAGCGCGCUACAACAAAAAUCCGAAAUUUUGGUUUAGCACUUCCAGAUUCUGAGAAGAUGCUCGAUUCGUACCAUACAAGUCAUAUAAGCCGAGAACAUAUCGCGGACUUUAAACCGGUGCGAGUCAGGAAGAAAUCGCAACAGGAAAAACGAUAGCCGGCUAGUCACCGCACAAACCUUAACCGAAAGUAAACCUAGGUCUUGCCCUAAACCCAACGCUCUGGUCUCAAACAUCUCAAGGCAUGAUAUCUAAAAGAUACGAGAUCAUAAACCAUGCCUCUCCGUUCGUAUCUCAAUGUUCUCGAAAAUCGUAAAGACAGAUAAAUUUUUACGAAAAUCACGAACGAACCAACAGAUUGAACGUCUAAUUAGAACUACAUACGAGACGACAACUCGUAUUUACUUCAACCCUACUCAGGAAAAACUCGAAACGAAACAUUUAUCAUAUAAAUAAACCGCGUAAAGCGGCAAGGGAUUCAAAGCCACCAACGGCCAGUCCCGGAAAUACAAAUACGGCCAUCGUGGCCUAAACGAAAUCCAAAUUCAAAGGGCCACAUUCGACCGAAAACAAGGAUAACUGAUCCAUCCCUCAUAAUCCAAAGUCGAAGUCCCCGGACAACGAAGCACCAAACGCAUCCGCAGGACGAUCCACUUCCUCGCCACCGCCGUGAAAAUCGAUCGGGACCUCCUCGGUAUCAGGAGAAACCGGGAUGGAAUCCCAGAACCCUUGAAUCCUCUCGUCGAUCGGAGGGAUAAGCGCCUCAGCGUGGGCACGGUCACUCAUCCCACUCUUCAUCAAGCUCAUUUCUCUUCAAACACAUAGUCGUCGGCUUGCGUCCUCCAAAGACUUCCGACCGAACCACGGCACUCGCGAAAGUCGCCCACCGAGGUAAAGGCAUUCUUAAGAUUCCCGUACUCAACCUGGAACUGAGAUGCGCGAGUCUUCAUCACCUCGACGAUCUCUCUUUUGCCUUUCCUCUCCGAUCUGCGAACAGCCCGCGCAUGAUCACGAGUAAGCUGUGCCUCUCGCUCCAGCAUCUCGCCUUGCACGCGGGGCGAGAUCCCGCUCCGCUUUCUCCGCCUUGAAGCGGUAGACCAUGGCUUCUCUAUGACCCGCCUCGAUGGCCGAGCCCAGCAAGCUCAGGCCCUGCAAAAUCAAUAGGCGUGUUACAAAUCCAUACAUAGGACAAUCACUUAAAAAUUCCCAAAAAAAAACUAACCCCAUUGAUGAUGCGAGAUCCUUCCGCAACGACUCUCGGCCUCGCCGAUUCUUUCGUAGGAGGAGGAGCAUCGAAACCCGAUGGCAGCCCAGCAAAGAAAUCAUCGAAGUCCGGAAUGGGGGCUUCGCUCGAACCGCUUCCGUCGCCGUAAGCAAGGUUCGGAUCCCAUCCUGGAAGCAUAGAGUCAUCCAUCGAAAACUCUAUGUCGCCGAGAUCGACGUCUUUUCCCUUCCAAGAGCUCGACUCCGGCGCGGCUGUCGGAGCUUCAACGGGACUCUGGCCGUCGGGUUCGGAGUCGCUUCCCGUAUCCGCGUCCAAAGCUGGACCAGGUUGCACAAAUUUCAGCGCCUUCCGAACCCUUCUCGGCGUGAAAGAAGUCCAGAAGAAGGGACCAUUCCUGAGAAGAUCCCUCACCGCGAUAAUAUCCUCAGGGAACGGAGCAAGAGGAUUGAUGAAGGGACGAUUGUUCGGCAACCUCCGGAACAGUGGAAUGCAACUCUCUUCGACGGACGCAGCGUCCAAACGAACAAAGAAAAAGAACUUCUUCCACGAGUUGAAGUUCGAAAUGAACUUCUUAACCACCGACAUAAAUUUCCGAGGGACAAACCUAUGCUUAUCCGUAUCCUUGACAAGUUGAAGCCUCAAAAGCGCUUCAUAAUGAUCGACGGAAAGGGAAAGGCCAUGCUCAUAGCUUAGAUCAAGAUCCCAAUAAGGUGCUGAAUGGCAAGGGGUGUCAACUGACUUAUCGCGACUUCAAACGGUCCAACACUCGGACGAGAAUUUCGGGUAUGGGGAACCAGAGGCGACAACGCACUAUGAACACCUCAUAACAAGUAAAGAACCCUCCGGGGGGUUGUUAGCACAUUCCCCACGGCAGGGAACCCGGAACUCCACAACAUCCGGGAUGCGGUAGAACGACCGCAUCGUCGCGAGAAACUCGUCAGUGGUCCUACUUGCGUCCUUUCCCUCGACUCCACGAUGGACCAGGACCGGGAAUGGCUUCUCCUUGGGAGGGAUCAACGAGCCAUAAUGAGCAACCCACCAUGCCUCGUUCUCGGCAGGAUGCACCGAGUGAGGCACGAACUCCGUCUUCGGAACGACGAGCUCUUCGUAAGGACUCGCGGACGAAGACCCUUCUUUCGCAAUCUUUUUCUUGCUCGACAUCUUUACACUUCUCUUAAGAGAAUAGAGGAAAAGGGUGGAGAGAAAGAUAGAAAGUUUUUGAAAGAUCUUAGAGAAAAACAAGAAAGUGAAAAAAUUAUGGAACAAGUUACCUCUCUUCUUAUAAGACAUGAGGAUUUACUAUUCAAGCUCGGACUUUCGCAUAUUAAUUCCAUCCAUCACACCUAACUUGCCAAACAUGCAUAACCGCACGCUAGGAUCCCCCCAUGCAUGAUCCUAACGGGCUGGGGGGCUAACUGUUGGGGUCAAAAACGGUUACGACGGAAUUACCACCCGAAAAUCCUCAGAGAUCGUAUUUCCGAAAGAGUUAGUAAAAGAAGGGAUAUAAUUUUCGUAAAAAUAACCUAUACGAGGUUAUUUCUACGAAGAAGUAUUCUUUGGGAUUCAAACCAAACGAUCGUCCCGCUCGGUCGUUACGUAGCGACCGAGCUUAGCCAGGCUCGGUCGCUACGUAGCGACCGAGCGAUCGUCCCGCUCGGUCGCUACGUAGCGACCGAGCUCGAGCCAAAGCUCGGUCGCUACGUAGCGACCGAGCGAUCGUCCCGCUCGGUCGCUACGUAGCGACCGAGCUCGAGCCAAAGCUCGGUCGCUACGUAGCGACCGAGCGAUCGUCCCGCUCGGUCGCUACGUAGCGACCGAGCUCAGCCAAGCUCGGUCGCUACGUAGCGACCGAGCGAUCGUCCCGCUCGGUCGCUACGUAGCGACCGAGCUCGAGCCAAAGCUCGGUCGCUACGUAGCGACCGAGCGAUCGUCCCGCUCGGUCGCUACGUAGCGACCGAGCUCGAGCCAAAGCUCGGUCGCUACGUAGCGACCGAGCGAUCGUCCCGCUCGGUCGCUACGUAGCGACCGAGCUCAGCCAAGCUCGGUCGCUACGUAGCGACCGAGCGAUCGUCCCGCUCGGUCGCUACGUAGUGAUCGUCCCGCUCGGUCGCUACGUAGCGACCGAGCUCGAGCCAAAGCUCGGUCGCUAUGUAGCGACCGAGCGAUCGUCCCGCUCGGUCGCUACGUAGCGACCGAGCUCAGCCAAGCUCGGUCGCUACGUAGCGACCGAGCAAUCGUCCCGCUCGGUCGCUACGUAGCGACCGAGCUCGAGCCAAAGCUCGGUCGCUACGUAGCGACCGAGCGAUCGUCCCGCUCGGUCGCUACGUAGCAACCGAGCUCGAGCCAAAGCUCGGUCGCUACGUAGCGACCGAGCGAUCGUCCCGCUCGGUCGCUACGUAGCGACCGAGCUCAGCCAAGCUCGGUCGCUACGUAGCGACCGAGCGAUCGUCCCGCUCGGUCGCUACGUAGCGAUCGUCCCGCUCGGUCGCUACGUAGCGACCGAGCUCGAGCCAAAGCUCGGUCGCUACGUAGCGACCGAGCGAUCGUCCCGCUCGGUCGCUACGUAGCGACCGAGCUCAGCCAAGCUCGGUCGCUACGUAGCGACCAAGCAAUCGUCCCGCUCGGUCGCUACGUAGCGACCGAGCGAUCGUCCCGCUCGGUCGCUACGUAGCGACCGAGCUCAGCCAAGCUCGGUCGCUACGUAGCGACCGAGCGAUCAUCCCGCUCGGUCGCUACGUAGCGACCGAGCUCGGGCCAAAAGCUCGGUCGCUACGCAGCGACCGAGCGAUCGUCCCGCUCGGUCGCUACGUAGCGACCGAGCUCAAGCCGAAGCUCGGUCGCUACGUAGCGACCGAGCACUCGUUUCGCUCGGUCGCUACAUAGCGACCGGGCUCGAGCCAAAGAUUGGUCGCUGUAUAGCGAUUGAACCUUUCCGAACAUCGAUACGACACCAGUCUUUGCAUUCUCGUCAAACCUUCGAAUGCUAUCUCCCGAAGACCGUAGCAAGCUCAGUCUAUGUUUCCCGCUAUUCUAAUUCAUCGAUCAAACUUCGCGGAUUAGAAACCGCGGAAAACUCGUAGUAAACGUGUCGAGUCGGAAGACGGCCCAAAGGGACCUAAAACACGACUCGAGGCCCAUCCUACGAUUUUUCCUAACCAAAAGCCCGUGGACCACAGCAUGGUUCGCGCUUGGCCCGCGAGGAAGGAUAAAUGUCAAGUUUCCGCGGAUAAAUACGGAAGUUUUGAAGAUAAUUGUGAAGAUCGGGAAAAAUGGAAUAUCUCCAUUUUUAUGCUAUGACGGCUUAAGGGCAGAAGAGUAAAAGCGUAAACCGACCUUGGAGCUAGUAUAUAAGGAGUCCUAGGCGAGGAGCAGAGAAAAGAACUUUUUUCAGAGCAAACUUAGCACUUAGAGCGAUUUAGGCAACUUUCCGUUUUUGUUAUUUCGAGCUGCGACUCAAUUAGGUUUAGCCGUCUUAGGGUUGCUAGAACUAGGAAUCUCGCCGACAGCUCUCGAGCCCAGGCUUAUACCUUGUUGUAACGCUCAUACGCAGAUUCGGAAUAAGAUCUAUUUUGCUCUCUUUUCGAUUUCUUAUUUUUAUCGUUGUUAUUCUCGUGUUCUGAUUGCUUGACGUGUGGUAAUUAACAGAUAUCCGGGUCCUCUGGGAAACUAGGGUUUUCUUAGUUUCCUUAUUUAAACGGAAAUCGACAGUGCGAAUUUCGGUUCCCACACAUAGCGGAGCAGCUGAACCAUGCACUCGUGGAAGGGAGGACUUCACCUAUUAUGGAGUUGGUUAUUUUCAUUCAAAGGAUGAUGACAAGGUGGUUCAGUGCAAGGAGAAAGAAGGCGGAAAACCACAGGGGUACAGUUAGUGUGGAGGUGGACAAGGUGAUGACAAACAAUAUGGCAACAAUGAAGGGGAGCAAAGUGAAUUCUUCUACUGAAUGGAGUUGUGAAAUUAUAGGGAAGUAUGGUAGGAAAGAACGUGUGCAUCUUGCCACUAAGCAGUGUAGUUGCAAGUAUUUUGAUAAAAUCAAAAUACCAUGUGGCCAUGCUAUGAUUGCUGCUGACAGUUUGGAAGUGCGUUAUGAGACUUUGGUUGAUCAUUACUACAAGACGUCUACAUGGAGGGAGACAUAUGCUGGGGUAAUCAGUCCAGAAGGAGACCCUCGUGAUGUGGAUAUACCUGAAGAUGUGAAGAAGAUGGUGUUGAUGCCCCCUGUCACAAAGAGACAACCUGGUCGCAGAAGGAAGAACAGGAUUCCCUCGAUUGGUGAAUAUCCGGUAAGCAUCUUAUUUAUUUGUUUCUUCACAUAAUUAAUGGAGAAGAUCCGAGCCCUUUAUACACACAUGUGUUUGUGUCAGGUUACGAAGAAGACGAAGCUGGUUCCAAACAAGUGUGGUAGAUGUCGUAUCGAAGGGCACAACCGUUCCAGCUGCACCAACCCAAUAUAGAUUGACGUGGACGGCGUUAGCGUGGAUGAUGGUGUCGAAACAUAGAAGGCUAACGUGGAUGAUGGUGUUUUUUUCGAAGUGGAGAAGAUAGUGUUUUGAGAUAAAGAAAGGUGCUUGUUAAUCGACAGAAGUGUGAUAUGUUUUGAAAUGAGAGAACCUUCUUGUUUAAUGAAUACUCUUGUUUAGUGUUAUCAUGUCGACAUGAGUGUGGUGGGUUGAGACUAAUUGGAUGUUUAGUGUGAUUUGUUUUAAAAUGAUUGUGUUUUGUUUUCAAUCGAGAAUACUAUGGUCGACUAGUUUAGAUCGACAUGUGGAUGUUGGUUUAUCAAAUCUUAAUGUUGGUUUGAGAAUCAUAAGUGAGUUGCAAUGUAAACACACAAGAGCACAUAUAGCUACAACAAGUAAAAAACAACCCAUAGAGCUACAACAACUAAGAUCCCUAAGCACACGCCUAAACAAAUGAACAACAAUUCAGAACAAAGGGAGAACAAUCAAGCCUACAGCUUGGUUGGCUUGAAAUUGAUAUAGUUAAAUAUAAUUAAACCGGAGUUGACCGGUGUUAAAUUGUGGACGGACAUAAUGAUGUCCACACAAUGACAGUACUUCUACACCGUCCACAUCCUUUUUUUACGUUCAAAAAGAGAAUAGCUAAGCGUAUUGGCAUCAUGCCCAACAAUUGUUCCAAACAAACACACCCAAACAAAAGAAGACACCAUUUCACAUCCGAUAAGAAAAGGUAUGAUCAACAUAUUACAUUGUUUUUAGUAUGAUUCACCCAACAAAACAAAACAAAAAACAUUGACAUUGUUCUGAAAAAAAAUCCUAAAGUUUGCAUAACCGAAGAUAACAAGUUCGUGAAAAGUUAGGAGCCUAUGCUCAACCGUAGUAAGCAGGCAUUACAAUGGUCUUGUAGAUGUCAAGCACGUACUGUUUACGGAAAUCAUCAACGUCGCGGUCUGUGAUGCUUGACAUGUGAUCGGGAUCCCCUUGUGCGUGCAUUUCCAAAAACUUGACAGAAACAGGUCCGCAGUCACCUCCCCUUUCGUUGAUAUAGAGGUCUUUGAUACGAUGACAUGUAAAAGGCGCAAGGCCGCGGAACUGAGUGAGCUCGUAGUUUGCAACCUUCUUGACAAGGUAAGGUAACACCUUCAGAACCGGAGCCAUGAAACGCCCAACAGCCGAGUCCUUGUACAAAGUGGGGAGAGGGUCUAAGACUUCAACACAGCCCAAGUCGAGGUUUAUCGCAAGACCAGCCCAGUGUUUAUCGCCCCAUAUCAUGGGUGUGUAGACAGUGAGCACAUCUUCCAUCCAUUUCUUCCCGGGCUGGAGAACAAGACCCGUCAGCUGCUCAUCCCAUUCGAAGGUAUCCCUCUUUCUUGACUUGUUGAAUGCCUUGGAUAUUGCCUGGAUUCCCGAAGUAAGGUGAGGGGUAAUGAAGGCAAGUUUUUGCUCCUCAAAGAGGAGGCUAUACCUUGCAGCUAGCAUGUGCAUGAGGAUUUCCAUGUGCUACAAAGAACAAUGCAACCAACGUAUAUUAAGCAUAUGACAUGAUUAAGAAGUUCUAGUCACAAGUGAGAAGGUAAGCUAAAAUUCAGAAAUUUGAAAAGAAAAGUGAUGGAAGUUUACGUAAGUUGUUGUCCAUUUCAUAGGCUGUGCUAGUUGGAGUAGGAAGUUGUUGGAGAAGUCUAGUUUGGAGGGAGUUAUAUGGAACCUGACAAAAUUGAAAGGUGGUUAGGUAAGCUUUAGAAAGCAAAAGAGGAGUCACAAAUUGAAAUGCACUUACGCAGCGCUAGACUUCGAAAUGAUCUUUUCGAAAAGAUCCCACUCAAUUUGAGGUAGUGGGCUUAUAAGAUCUGGCGCAGGGACAGUCUUGCAGCGCUCGAGUUGUUUUGCAAGGUGGUUUUCUUCGAUUGAUGGAAUAUGCUUGGGCCUUUUCGGAGCUGGAGAGCCGUCGCUGUCGCUCAGAGACACAACGUCGCUGUCCUCAGUUGGUUGAGCCUAGACAGAAACAACAUGAAUUACUUGCAUGAGUUCAAACUACAUUCUAAGUAGACAGUUGAAGCAAAUACAUAAAAACACUGAAACUACACACCUGUUGAGCAGAGGAAUGUUUGGUCUUGGCAGCAGAGGAAGGUUUGGAUGUGGCGGUGGCUGAGAAUGCGUUGAUUGUUGACGCAUGGCCUACGAAUCCUGGGAGACUGUCUGAACCCUUAUUGGGGGAAGUCUCGGGAGUUAAAUGGAGGGGUGACAAAGGGAAGUUUCGCUUCUGCGAAGAUUGAUUGCAUGAUGUGUCGUAUCGGGGUUGGCUUAGAGAGGGGGGCUCCGGACUAAUGGCUACGGGGCUGUUGUUUGGGUGGGCACUAGCAUCGUAGAUGGGCGAAAGAGGACGAAGAGAUGGGGGAGUAGUUGGAUUGGUAGCAAAGGGGGUGUGUUGAGAAUUAAGUUGGGGGAGGUGUGGAUGGGGGAGAUGUGGAUAGGGUAGGUGUGGAUGGGGGAGAUGUGGAUGGGGGAGAUGUGGAUGGGCGAGGUGUGGAUGGGGGAGGUGUGGAUGAGGGAGGUGUGGAUUGGUGAGGUGUGGAUUGGUGAGGUGUGGAUGGGUGAGGUGUGGAUGGGGGAAGUGUGGAUUGGUGAGGUGUGGAUGGGUGAGGUGUGGAUGGGGGAAGUGUGGAUGGGGGAAGUGUGGAUGGGUGGGGUGUGGAUGGGGGAGGUGUGGAUGGGGGAGGUGGUUGUUGACUUGCUGUGAGAAAUUGAGCCGUAACGCUGUGCAGCGUAUUGGCUGACGACGGGCGACUGAAUGUGAUCUUCCUCCAUAGGAGCUUGCGGCUGUGACAAGUAGAGGAAAACCAAAAGAUUAUGUAAGUAAGCCUCACAGUUAAUGGCACCUACAAGAAGUAACAAAUAAACAACAUUACCGUAUGGUGAGAGAUAUCAGCUUGUGGCCCCGUCUGGCAUACAUCGUGGGAAGAGACAGGAACGUUGUCGUUUGUUGGUUCAGUCUGACAUCCUUUGUGUGCAAAAGCAGUUUUGCCUUUCUUUACUAAUCCUUCUCCGAGAAGAGUGUUGAAGGCAGAGCGCUUGAACGAAGUUGUAGUCUUCUUGCGCUUAAGCAAUUUGCGAAGCAGCUUUGACUCCUUUUGAAGCUUGGAUACUUGAUCUGAAAUUGCAGUCAGGAGCUCCAGUAUUUUGUCGUUUGAUAUCCUGGAAGAAGACGCGGCAUGAAAGUAACUACUGAUGCGUCUCUGCUUGCGGACCGUGUCUUUUUUCUUUGAUGUCUUCCUUGGUUUGAGGACCUUUUUGGUGACUGGUUUGGCAUUUUUGGGAGGUGCUUCCGGCUUGAUCUUCUUAGAUUUGGGUUGAUCUUCAUCAUUUGUAGCAGUAGUGAUUAAUGGCGCAGAUGUGUCUCCACCAUGCCAAAGGUCCUUCGUGAAGGGGCGAUGGUCAGCUAUAAGUUGCUCCAUGUAUGACACACGGUCGUCGUUUGAGACAUCAGGCCAAACACCCCAUCCAGGUUGUGGUUGGCUAUGUAUUGGUAUCAACGGUGUCACUUGAAGCUGAAGUUUAUCAAAACAUUAACAAAAAUGUCAAGACUUCAGAAAAUAACAGCAAGACAAAAUUAUAAGAGAGUGUAGUAUGUAGCUUACAUCAGGGUCAGCUUCCACACUUAUAAUAUCGCUGGCGCUGGGCGCUGGAUAGGAAGGAAGAUUAGGGCCGUCGAGGUCCAUGAUUGUACGAGAAUCAAACGGGAUGGGAAUGGUUGACUGAAGUUUUGGGAUCGCCUGGUAUGCAAGGAGUUGUAGUGCAAGGGGGAAUCCCCUAAGCCUCAAUGACUCCUGCUUGAGGAGCUGAACCAUUGCUUCGAUUGGGUCCUGACAUUUCUUUGGGACGAACUUCGGAGGUUUCAUGCAGACAAUGGUCUUGAUAAAAGACUCUCUACCCCAAGGAUGUGAGCAGAAAGUGUCAACGUCUUGGACCAUUCUGACAUAUUUCAGAGUAGGGCGUGGCGUUUGUUGAUGAGCAAUGAGGACACCAUCGACUAUUAUUAUCAAAGCAAGCUGUAGCUUCUUUUUCCCCGGCAUGUUCUUAUCGGUCUCCAGCUUGUUACGCAAAUCAGCAAUGGUUGUGAAUCUCUUUUUCCCUAUCAACUUGAUCCAAUCAGGGUCUUUGUUUGCUUGAGACUCGUCUUCUUUAUCAAGGGUGUAUCCAACAGGGAAAGCUCCACAAGGCAAACCGGUAAUGGUGCCAAACUCUUGGAGGCCGAACUUGAUUGGAUCACUUGUGUGUGUUUGUCCGCACAAACUAGUUGUCUGGUCAACAUGGCGUGUAUCAGUUUACCCGAAGACGGACAUUGACGGGCUGGGAGGUCAAAUAACUUCCCGAAGCAAGAGCUCCUAAUAUACUCGAACUCUUCGGUGCCUCGAAGAACAUGACGGAUGAAAGCUAGAAGCUCUGGCUUUGAGUAAAUGUUGUGGCGUCCAAUCGGGAAACGGUCGGUGGCGAAUAGUCUCGGUGGGAGACGGUGGUCCGGUUGAUUGUUGCCUGAAAAAAACCGACGGAACAAAUUAGGAAAAAACUUUAACGGCGGAAUCGAUUUUCUGGGUUUGAACAAAACAUAAACAAAAACCCUAAAGGGGUCGAUUAAGAUGUAAUAUAAACAUAUAAUACUGGAUCUGAACAAAAUAGAUGUAUAUUAGACGAAAACAAACCUUGCAUGACUUGAUGUAGAGGUACAGAAAACGACGGCGGCGGAUGCGAUAGAUUCAGCGGAUGUCAGAGAACGGCGGAGUGACGGAGCUUGUGUGAAGAACGGAAGGAGAUGAAAGGAUCUAUGGAGCUCACUUUCGAAGGAGAGACUGUGAAGAAUUAGUUGUAGGGUUUGGUCGAAAUCGCCGCAAGGCGGAGUGACAGAGAUUGUGUGAAGAAGGGAAAGAGAUGAAAGGAUCUAGCUGGAACCGUCGAAGGAGAGACUGUGAAGAGAGUAGUUCUAGGGUUUGGUCGAAAUCGCCGCAAGGAGGCGUGAGAGAAAGAGAGAGAGAGAAUCGUAAAAGAGAGAGAAAUGUGUAAAUUUGAAUUAGAAAUUGGUUUGGUACAAAGACAUAAACCGAUGUAUAAGAUUUUGUUCUGGUUUGGUUUUUCUACUUUCUCUACCAUAAGGGUAUAGAAGACAAUGACUAAGGAAGAAGUAUGUGACAUGUGCAAUGUGUCUUAGAGAGUAAAUUCAAAGACAUAAAGUGUCUUAGAAGGUAAAAAAUUCAA
rnacentral:lncRNA from 1 species